CCAUCCGGAUUAUCCACCCUAUCGUACGGGUCCUCCGAAGCCCUAUCCAACCCGAUAUAGUACGGCGAGUCAUUGGGCUUCGCAACCCAGCUCGCCCGGGAGGACAUCCGGACCCGGCCCAUGGACCCACGGGUGGACAAGCUGGACCGCGACAGCGUUCUGGGGAGCUCCGCCAGGUUGGAGGAGGACUGGGAGGGGGAAGGUGGAUCGGGUUUGGAGGGUCGGCGUCGUUUUAGGUAGAGCUGGAGGCAGUAAUAGAGAGCACAUGGGAUUAGAGAGCCGAGGAUGAGGCCGCCUCUGCCUUGGACGACGCCUUGGAGUGGCACAAUCAGUCUCAUCGCGGUGACUCCGGUGGGCUUGUUUCGGGUUGGGUCGGAGUCGGUUUGGCCGGUCCAGGUCUCGAGCUGCAGUGGGAGGGUUUCGGGUUGGCCGUUGGUUGGCGUGGAGGGAUUGAGUGAGAUUCGAGAGCCCUGCGAGGGAAGUGUGUGUUUUGCAGUUUCGCUUCCAGAAACUUUUGGUCUGGUUAUGAUUGGCACCUGCCAGUUUCCAUCUUUGCAUCUUUUGUUGGUGCCGUGCAAACACCAUCGUCGUAUAAUAACAAAAAGAACGAAAUUUCAUUCUUUUUGGGGCUAAAGAUGUAAUUUUGAAUCAAAUGUUUUUCUUAUCAUAUUUGUAACCGUUGUCUAAUAAAGACGAGAUAUAUAUGUGUGUGGACCCUACUUCUAUUAAGGAGAUUGAGAAAUUUUUUAAUGUGCUUAAAACAAUAGUUGUAACAUAUGUCCUGAUACAAAUACUAGAUACUAUUUCGUGUUUCAAGCCCAUUGAAAACUCUCUCAUAUCACAUUGUUAAUAAGCUUUUUAAUUCGAAUUUUUCUUUCUCACGGUAUCGAUAAUAUACCAACUUGUAAUGAAUCCACUCAUAUAUAUAUAUAUGUGUGUAUCUUCCCAAGUAUACCAGCACUCCAUAAAUCAUUGAACAUUGAAUCAGAACAAGUGGAUUACACAUGUCAAUGGUUGAGACAAAUGCUGACUCAUCACAUCACUUUUGUGUUUGUGUGCAUCUUCCCAAGUAUACCAGCACUCCAUAAAUUAUUGAACUUUGAAUCAGAACAAGUCUGCAAUAUGAUGGAUUACACAUGUCAAUAGUUGAGACAAACGCUGACUCAUCACAUCACUUUCAUAGAUCGGAGGCAGAUUGUCUGCCCUCAUAUGCUUUUCUAAUUUCCUCAUCUUUUAUGCGGUCAUGAUUAAGUCACGUCAAUAUUUUAUAUUGAUUUUUUUUAUAAAGAUAAUAAGACAAACAACAAUAAGAAUAUAAAAUGUUGACGUGACUUAACCGUGACCGCACAAAUAGGAAGAAAUGGAAAUAACAUCCAAACAGAAGGGCAGAGAAUCUACCUCCUCAUAGAUUCGGUCUCCUUGCAAUCUAGAAAGCCAUCUGCAACCUAAGCAGAAAUAUUGCACCACAAUUUAUUCGUGCUCUCUGUUGAUAGGGCGUUUAGAGCAGUUGCCAAGUUGGAUUUCAAACACCUCGUCAGGAUAACAAUUUUUUGGUCAAGGUUGAGAGAUUCCCCAUUAAAAGCCCUUCAAAAUCUACCUAAUCUGUUGGAGCUAGUUUUGAAAAUCAAUGCAUAUGAUGGUGUGCAGCUGCAUCUUGAGGAAUGAGGAUUUCAGAAGCUGAGGCAUCUGGAACUCAGGGACAUGGAGGGACUAAAUUCAUUGAUCAUGGACAAUGGGGUUAUGCCUCUUCUCCAAGAGUUUCACAUUGGACCUUCCCCACAACUGAAGGAGGUGCUCUUGUUUUCGUUGACAUGCCAAAGGAGUUUGCACGACAUAUGGAUCCAAAUAAUGGACUAUAAUAUUGUAUUGUUGAACAUAUACAAGAUGUCCGCUUUAGUUACAAGUUCGGACCAAGAUGGGGGUAUAUAUGAAACUCACGCCCUACGUGAUUCCAACUUUUCUUUUUGGUAGAAGAUUCCAACUUGUGAAACCAAGCACGGGAAUGAGAUGGUCUCUUUUUGUACAGUUUUUGGUUAGAGAGGUUAAGGAGUUGUUAAGAAUUGGUUGUUAGCUCUGGUAUCCUAGUUUCUCUUGCAGGUUGACUGGGAGUGGCUCUUUCUCUUCUGUUUUCUUUGUGUCGUCGAGUCUAGUGAUCUUUCUAGCAUUUUCCUUAUAAACUGGUUUUUUUUUAUAAAAAUUGAAAAUAAAAAGGUAUCUUCUUCUCAAAUUCAGAAUGUUCAAAUGACCUAAUAAAAUUUCAUUGAACUUUAGGCGAAUAAAUCAAGUUUUUACCAGAGAUGAGUGUUAAUCUACAAUGGCUAUUUUAUUCAAAAAGUUUUUUAGUAGUUUAAAAUCAUCAAACUAACUUUUUAUUUGAAUGUGUUAAAAUUGGUUACCAGCAGGUAAUGGAUUCUUAACGUGUUAACUUGAAAUUCAUUAUUUUCGUAUCAUUUCGAGUUAAGUUAACAGAUCGUAUAAGAAAUUAUCAGAUCUAACAUUUAAAAGGAAGAUUUGAAAGGCUUGAUGAACGUUGGCAGGCCUACCAAAUAUAAAAUGGUUUUGUUUGUUUGUUAAUUUAUAAAAACUUAAAAAGAGAGUUGGGUAGGUAUUGUAUUGACGCAAAGCCAGAGGCAACCUUGCUGGUUUGGUCUCACUUGUUGACCUCUAUUGCUGCAACAUAGCAAUUUUCCUGCUCAGCUGUAAAAGAACUAUGUCACUAUAUUGCAAAGGUGUAAAGUCUUUUAUUUUUUACAUACCACCUCUCCAAUCACAUUGUUAACCACCUUUUUAAUUCGAGUUUUUCUUUCUUACUGUACCAAUAAGAUCGAAUUAAUCCGCUCGUAUAUCAUCCCAACUCCACGGUAUAUAAUAUAGCAGCACUCCUAAAAUUAUUGAAAAGAUGUGUGAUAUUUAUACACCCCUUUUUACUUCUAACACACGCUUUUAAUUUUCGGCCAUCGGAUUGGAUGAAUUGAAGAAGAUCAAAUGACAGAAAUCAACAAAAGAUGUGUAAGAAGUAAAAAAUGAUGUGUGGAUAGCACACCCCUGUUGAAAAUUGAAUCAGAACAAGUCCGCAAUAUGAUAUGAUGGAUUACCUAACCAGAAAUAUUCCACACAGAAGUCGUCUGCAACCUAACCAGAAAUAUUCCACAAGGAAGUAUUCAUAUAGAGAUUUUUCUCAAUCAAUUAUAGAUACUUUUUCUGCCAGAAAAGGCAGGAUACAAAAUGGCAGAAUCAGUUGUAUGCUUUGUGAUCGAUAAGUUAAUUUCACUACUCAUCACCACAGAAGCGAAACUUUCAAGAGACGUGCGUGCUGAAGUUGGUUUUCUCAGAGAUGAGCUUGAAAGCAUCCGAUCAUUCCUCAAGGAUGCAGACGCAGCAGCAGCAGCAGCAGCAGAAGGAGACAUGGUGACUGACAGUGCCAAAACUUGGGUCAAACAAGUAAGGGAAGCAGCUUUUUACAUUGAAGAUGUCAUCGAUGAGUAUUUGCUUCGUGUCACAAGGCACCAUCAAGACCGCGGAUUCGUUCGCUUUGUCCACAAAGUUGUUUGGUUUCUGAAGAAAAUGAAACCACAGGAUGAGAUAGCCUCAAAAAUAGAGGGCAUGAGAGCAUUGGUUAGUGAAAUCAAGGCUAGACAUGAAAGAUAUGGACUUGGUUCAAUUGAUCAGCAAGGUCAAAGCAGUGAAGAAAUUGUUGUUUCGUGGCAUGACCCUCGAGUGGCUUCCCUUUUCAUCGAGGAAGCUGAAGUUGUUGGUGUGGAAUCUGCCAGAGAUGAGCUGAUUAGUUGGUUGGUAGGAAAAGCAUCAAGAGGCGAAUACCGUGAAGUAAUAUCAGUGGUUGGCAUGGGAGGACUUGGUAAGACCACUCUCGCCAAGAAAGUCUAUGACAACCAAAAGGUGAUCGAACACUUCGAUUGCCAUGCUUGGAUUACAGUGUCUCAGACGUACAAGGUGGAGGAUCUUCUGAGGCAGAUGGUAAUGCAAUUCUACAAGGCCAGGAAGGAAUAUACCCCGGAGAGAAAAAGAAUCUUUAAUUAGAAAAUCAAGAGAAUUACUGCAGCAAAAGAGGUACAUGAUUGUGUUUGAUGAUAUGGAAAGUAGAUUUUUAGGAGGCGAUAGAACAUGCUUUACCGGAUAAUAAAGGCGGAAGAAUAGUGAUCACCACGAGGAUUAAAGAUGUUGCUGAUUUUUGCAAAAAGUCUUCUUAUGUUCAUGUUUACCGUUUGCAACCUCUGCCUCCAAACAAGGCAUGGGAAUUGUUUUGUAGAAGGGCGUUUCAAUAUGAAUUGGAGGUGAACUGCCCUGCAGAUUUGAAAGAUUUGUCUCUUGAAUUCGUUAGAAAGUGCGAAGGAUUGCCUUUGGCAAUUGUUUCCAUAGGUGGUCUGCUGUCAACAAAAGUUAAAGUUGUGUCUGAAUGGCAGAAGUUAUACGAUAGCUUAAGUUCAGAGUUAGAAAGCAAUCCCCACCUUACAAGCCUCACAAGAAUUCUAUCCUUCAGCUAUCAUCAUCUACCGUAUCACCUCAAAUCAUGUGUCUUAUACUUUGGCAUCUUUCCCGAGGACCACUCAAUUAGUUGCGUGAGACUAGCUCGGUUGUGGAUCGCUGAAGGCUUUGUGAAACCGAAGAGAGGCAAGACACUAGAAGAGGUUGCAGAGGAAUACUUGACUGAACUGAUACAUAGAAGCCUAGUGCAAGUGUCACAGGUUUGGAUCGAUGGGAAAGCUAGAAGCUGUCGAGUCCAUGAUCUGAUGCGCGAAGUGCUCCUUAGAAAAGCGGUGGAUUCAAAUUUCUGUCAUGUGUUAUCAGAAAAUGAGUCAACAUUAAAGCCAAUAACUCGACGCCUCUUGAUAGACAGCACGCCCCAUGGUGCCUUGGGAAUAAUUGAACAAUCUCGCAUUCGUUCUUUAUUUACUUUCAACCAAGAACAAUGGCCCGAGUCUUUUCUCAGUACACUGAGUGGAAACUUUAAACUUAUGAAAAUAUUGGAUUUUGCAGAUGCUCCCCUGAAUCAUCUUCCGAAGUAUGUGGGGGAUUUGUAUCUCUUGAAGUACUUAAGCCUAAGGAAUACAAAGGUGAAGUUGCUUCCAGAGUCCAUAUGUAAUCUGCAAAACUUAGAAACCCUGGAUUUAAAACAGUCUCUGGUAUAUGAAAUACCAGCCAAGAUCAAUAAGCUUCUAAGGUUGCGACAUCUUUUGGCCCAUUAUACUGACUCCAGCAUAGAUUUCAGCAUGAUCAGUUACGAACGAGGAGUGAAAAUUCACGAUGAUAUUGGAUGCUUACAAGCUUUGCAAGAGUUAUACCAUGUGGAAACAAAUCACGGCGGAAUCAACCUAAUUAAAGCAUUGGAAAAGUUGAGGCAACUGCGCAAGCUGGGCCUGAAAAACUUGAAACAUGAAUAUGGACGAGCUCUAUGUGCUUCCGUUGAAAAGAUGAACCACCUUGAAUCUCUAGAAGUAAGCACAAUAAAUGAAGAUGAAGUCCUCGACCUACAAUCCAUUUCAACUCCACCCAAAUCUAUUCGGUUUCUCUACUUAAAGGGGCCUCUGGAGAAGUUGCCAAGUUGGAUUCCAAAGCUUCAACAACUCGUCAAGUUACGAAUUUUUUGGUCAAGGUUGACAAAUGCCCCACUGAAAGCCCUUCAAAACCUUCCUAAUUUGGUAGAGCUUGGGUUUUCAUACAAUGCAUAUGAUGGUGUGCAACUGCAUUUUGAGGGAGGCUUUAAGGAACUCAGGGUGUUGAAACUCAAGCACUUGCCCAGACUAAACUCAUUGAUCAUAGACAAUGGGGCUAUGCCUCUUCUCCGAGAGCUACAAAUUGGGCCUUCCCCACAACUGAAGGAGGUGCCCUCUGGCAUCCAGCACCUCAGAAAUCUAAGCUUUCUUAGAUUUGUUGACAUGCCAAAAGAGUUCCGACGACAUAUGGAUCCAAAUAAUGGCCAACAUUAUUGGAUUGUUGAACAUGUUCUUUUUAGUUACAAGUUGGGACCAAGAUGCGAUGUAUAUGAAACUCACGCCCUGCGUGAUUCCAACCUGUGAAAGCAUAUCUACUUGUGAGUUUUAAUCCCAGACACCCCAUAUAACUCGCAAGGCUUAAAUGAAAUCGCCAAAUGUCAUUGUUGACACGAUCUCUGAUAUUCUUUAGUAUUAUCAACUGUUAUAGAUGUUUGCUUUGUAUGAAAACAAAACAUAAAAACUUCAUUCAUGUUUGUGAGGAGUUGAUUGUAUUUGAGCAGGCAACAUUGAUUAUUUCUCACAACCAAGACAAGUGUUUGGCUAAUUAUUUCUCACACUAUCUAAUCAAAUGAAGGGCUAGGAGUUUCAGUUUGAAUGUCGGUCCUAAAUCAUUUCUUUUGUUCCAGACAUGUUUCUGAAUUUGAAGCAUUGAACUUUUGCUCAGCAAACAAGCAUUGUACGUAAGAUUUUUUUCGGUUGAAAGGCUUCAUGGCAAGCCUACCACAGGUCUCCAAGGAUAAUCAUAGGCAACUUGCGAGGUUGAAUAUCAUUUGCAACCCAGCUAGCAGAAACAAAAGAGUCCCUUCUCUAGUACCAAGCUUAGCUAGAAGUCGAGGUUUUCGCCACACGAAUUAAUUACGUAAAAUGAAACAAAUUAAAUCUGAAUUAUGCAUGGUAAGUGAUGGAUGGCAGAUUCAAAUCAAAGAGAAGCAGUUAUAUAUGUUAAUGGAAGAUCAGAGCAAAACGCAUGGCUUAAACUUCAUUGCUUUACAUCUGCAACCUUAUCAGAAAGAACACAAAAGUCUCUAAGCAUACAUAUAGUGUGUUAAAACCUGAUUGCAUAAGUUAAUGAAAAAGUAGCAGAAGCAGUUGUAUUCUUUGUGAUUGAUAAGUCUCUACUCAUCUACUGUACAGAAGCAAAACUUCCAAGAGAUGUAUGAUAGAGAUUUUAACACAUGUUCAGGAACUGGUAUAAACAAUUUACGAGUUUUUGGAUUAUUUAACUUAAUUAACUCUAAGAAUUAUAUUGGAGCAGUUAUGUUUUUAUUUAAUAUAUAUGUGUGUGUGUAUAUAUAUAUAUAUGAUUUGUUUUAUUAGAAACAUUAAAUAUAUAUAUAUAUAUAAUUGUCAUUAGGAGCAAUUUUUAUUCGUAAAUAUAUUGGAGACGUUGUCAAUUAUGAGUCAUUUCCACUCUUAAUUAUAUAGGAGAUGUGAGGAAGUUUUCUACUUCAACAAAUUUGAAAUGCCUUCUCUGAAUAGAUAUAUAUAUAUAUAUAUAUAUAUAUAUAUAUAUAUAUAUAUAUAUAGAUAUAUAUAGAUAUAUCAAUUAUGAGUCAUUUCCACUCUUAAUUAUAUAGGAGACGUGAGGAAGUUUUCUACUUCAACAAAUUUGAAAUGCCUUAUCUAUAUAGAUAUAUAUAUAUAUAUAUAUAUAGAUAUAUAUCUAUUCAGAGAAGGCAUUUCAAAUUUGUUGAGAGAGAUAUAGAUAUAUAGAUAUAUAUCUAUAUAUAUAUAUAUCUAUUCAGAGAAGGCAUUUCAAAUUUGUUGAGUGAGAGAGAGAGAGAGAGAAUACUAUAAGCUGAUAAAUAAUUUUUGAAAUUAAGUUUUGAGAGCAACAUAUUGAAAUCUAUUCAGAGAAGGCAUUUCAAAUUUGUUGAGAGAGAGAGGGGGAGAGAGAGAGAGAGAAUACUAUAAGCUGAUAAAUAAUUUUUGAAAUUAAGUUUUGAGAGCAACAUAUUGAAAGGGUGCAAGUUUGAAAGGUUCUGGGCUGUUUUAUCCUGAGGACGACGUGGUGUUUGUGAACUUCUUGCACACUUUGGGUAGAGCCGCGAAACAUCUUAAAGAUAGCGACUUAGUCCGCAACUCAUCCCAAGAAUCAUUCAUUACUCAAGGGUUUUACAUUUUCCGGGUAACUUCGUUCAUUUCUAUUUCAGUUUAAACAAUUUUAAGACGAAUUCAAUCUGCCAUGCAUUAUAAGGAAAACUCUACUUCUCAAGCAAAUCUUGUUGAAGAGCAAUUGAUUGCAAUGAUAUCAGAUAUCAACCUAGUUGAUGGAUCAGAAGGGUGGUGGGUGGACAUUGGCGCUUUUCGCCAUGUUUGCUAUGAUCGAUCCCUUUUCAAUACCUAUUCUGUGGCUGAGGGAAGAAAGGUGUUGUUGGGUGAUUCGCACUCAACUGAUGUUGCUGGUACUGGAGAGGUGGAGUUGAAAUUCACCUCUGGAAAAACCAUGAUACUGAAAGAUGUGAUGCACGCUUCGGCGAUAAGAAAGAAUCUUGUCUCGGGCUUUCUUCUCAACAAGGCUGGAUUCACUCAAACGUUUGGAGCAGAUACGUAUACUCUUACUAAAAUGAGGUUUUUGUGGGAAAAGGGAUAUGCUACUGAUGGAAUGUUUAAAUUGAAUAUUGAUAAAAUGUCUGCUUCUGCUUACAUGUUGUCUUCUUUUAAUACUUGGUAUGCUAGACUUUGUUAUGUUAACAAACGCUUGGUUAAGAACAUGAGUAACUUAGGCUUUUUACCCAACUUAUCAUUGAAUGAUUUUGAAAAAUGUGAAUACUGUAGUCAAGCUAAAAUCACUAGAACUUCGCAUAAAUAUGUCAAUAGAGAAUCUGAACCACUUGACUUAAUUCAUUCUGAUAUAUGUGAAUUUGAUAGAGUGUUAACUAGAAAUGGAAAACGUUAUUUUAUUACCUUUAUUGAUGAUUGUUCAAAUUACUGUUUUGUCUAUCUUAUAAAAAAUAAAAGUGAAGUUAUUGACAUGUUCAAAACUUUCCUGAUUGAAGUUGAAAAUCAUUUAAUCGUAAGUUUAAAAGAUUUUGUAGUGAUAGAGGACAAUAUCAUUUAAUCAUUUAAUCGUAAGUUUAAAAAAAAUUCUUGACGAGCCCUAUAUCUCUGCAAUGUUAGAUUUCCCAUUUUCUUAUCCAUUUUUCCAGUUCGAGGCAGUAAAGUUCUGUGGGUUUCCGGGGAUUUUGUCAUUUUCCGGACACUUUGGCAACCAUUUCCUUUGAGUGAGGUAUGAAACUUCAUCUACUCUUCAUAAUCUUCAAGUUGGUAUGCUUGGUUCGUGCUUUUGUAUUCAUUUUAGUGUUGGGUGUUUAGAACCCUAGAAAUCCGGUUUUCUCUGGUGAAUUUGGAUGGUUUCCAAUUAGAAUUUAUAUUCGGCCUAGUUGUGAAAAGUGUUUCCCUUGUUGAGCUCUAGUUACCACUUAAAUUUGAGCUCAUUUAGUUAAUAUUGAAAAUUCAGGUUUUCAAAACCCUCCACCUUAGUUAUCAGUUGUUGGACCUUUGAGAACUUACGGAUCGGAGAUCUGAUGUGCGGAUCUUCCAGUUUGAAUAACCUUAGAUUGUUGACCUUAUUGACGAUUGACAUUCUAGUCAACGUGCUAUACUCUAGAGUGUCGUUUAUCUCUAGUUUGUUGUUGAUGCUUGAUGGAACUUAGUUGGCUCAUCACGAUGAUGUGUCGUUCUCGGUUGAUGUGUGUCUCGAUAUAUGUAUUAGUGCCACCAUAUUGAGUUAUACUUGUUAAUUUAAUGUGCUUUCUAUUGAAAUGUUAUUUUAUUUUUAGCAUCAAUCUAUGUUUAUUAAUUGUGAUUUGACUGUAGCUUGGAAACAUUUAUGAAAUGUGGUUAGAUAUGUAUGAUCAGUAUGAUGUGUAUAAUUGUUUUUAGGACAAUGUGAACCCAGAAUCUUAUGAGAAGUAUUAUGUAUAACUUUUAUGCUUGUAUGAUAAGAUAGUUAGUGGUCAUGAGAAGUUGAUAGUGCAAGUGAUUCUGUUGAGUGAUGGUCCGGAAUCGUAUACUUGUUUGGAUUCCGUUGAGUGAUAGUCUGGAAUCCCUUCUACUUCGUGAUUCUGUUGAGUGAUGGUUCAGAAUCGUAUACUUGUUUGGAUUCCGUUGAGUGAUGGUCUGGAAUCCCUUCUACUUCGUGAUUCCGUUGAGUGAUGGUUCGGAAUCGUAUACUUGUUUGGAUUCCGUUGAGUGAUGGUCCAGAAUCCCUUCUACUCUGCGAUUCCGUUGAGUGAUGGUCCGGAAUCAUAUCCUUGUUAAGAUUCCGUUGAGUGAUGGUCCAUAAUCGUAUCCUUAUUUGGAUUCUAUUGAGUGAUGGUCUGGAAUCAUUUCCUGGUUUGGAUUCCGUUGAGUGGUCCAAAGUCGCAUCACUUGACUUGUUGGUUUCUUAGAUUUGACAUCAGCUUUAGAGAUGCAGACUUGGCUUAACUGUGUCACUCUAGCCUUAGUUUUAGUAUAUUUGUGAGCAAUGGUUUUGAGAAUCUUGUGAAUUGAAUUAGAAAAGCUGUUGGACGUUUGGGUGACUCUUUCAUGAUUUUCUAUGAUUCGAUUAUGAUAUCAUAAGGUAUGAAUUUAGAAGAUAUGGUUAUAGUUGUUAUUAUUUUGGUCAAAUUAGUUAAUUAAUGUGGCUAGAGAAUUAUAUUGUGCUUCGUCGGUUCUUUGAUAUAAUAUAUGUUGUGAAUUGCGGUAUCAUGUUGCGACAUAAUGACUUAUAUAGAAGAUGGAAGGGAAAUCAUGAUUUUCAGGUGGGUUUGUUAUGUAACUCUGAGUCUAGUAAUUUUAUGCUUGGCAAGUUCUAUUGAUUGAUUGAGAAAUGUUAUGCCUUUCAGCUUAAACGGACUGUGAUAUAUGUCAAUUAUAGUGCAUGACGAACUAUGAAUGGCUUGAUCUAUAUUUAGGGUACGUAAGCAGUCUAACGAGGAUGUUAGAUGCAGCCAUAAAGCAUACGAAAAAUUACUAUGUGAUUCGAUUAUCGAAUUGUGCUUUGCCCAUAUUCCGGAGUCGGGGUAUGAUAGAUACGGGUAUUUGGUGACAUCACGUGUCGAUCCUAGACGUAUGUCGGGAUCGGGGCUUGACAUGGGUGAAAUUGUGUUGACUAUAUGUUAUGUGUUAAAUAGAAUUCCUAACUCAAAAACGAAUAUUUCUCCUUAUGAAAUUUGGAAAAAUAAGAAACCAAAUGUGUUGUAUUUCAGAACUUGGGGUUGUUUAGCUUAUGUUCGUAAACCUGAUAAAAAAAGAUUGAAAUUGGCUAGUAGAGCAUAUGAAUGUGUUUUUAUUGGUGAUGCAUGUAAUAGCAAAGCAUAUAGAUUUUAUGAUUUGAAAAACCAUGUCAAAUUGAGUCACUUGAUGCUGACUUUUAUGAGAAUAAAUUUCCUUUUAAUCUUCGAAAUAGUGGGGGUUCUAAUUCUUCUAAAAUUUAUGCACCUCCUGUUGUAGAACAUAGUCAAUCUGCAUUAGAACCUAGGAAAAGUAAAAGAGCUCGAAUAACUAAAGAUUUUGGACCUGAUUUUCAUGUAUAUAACUUACAAGAAGAUCCUAAUACAAUUCAAGAAGCUUUAACUUCUUUAGAUGCAGCUUUGUGGCAAAAAGUUAUAAAUGAUGAAAUGGACUCCCUGGAGUCAAAUCAAACUUGGCACUUGGUGGAUCUUCCACCUGGUUGCAAAACAAUAGAUUGCAAAUGGAUUCUUAAAAGAAAAUUAAAACCUGACGGUUCAGUUGAAAAUUUUAGAGCCCGACUUGUUGCUAAAGGCUAUAGACAAAGAGAAAAUAUGAUUUCUUUAAUACUUAUUCACCUGUGACUAGAAUAACAUCUAUUCGUGUAUUAUUUGCUUUAGCUUCUAUUCAUGAUCUUGUUGUGCACCAAAUGGAUGUUAAAACAACUUUCUUAAAUGGUGAAUUAUAGGAAGAAAUAUAUAUGGAUCAACCAGAGGGUUUUAUCAUUCCAGGACAAGAAAAUAAAGUUUGCAAGUUAGAUAAGUCACUUUAUGAAUUGAAAUAGGCUCCUAAACAAUGGCAUGCAAAAUUUGAUAGUUUGAUUACUUCGAAUGGUUUUAAAAUAAAUGAAAGUGAUAAAUGCAUCUAUUAUAAGUCUAAAAAUAAUAUAUGCAUUAUAAUAUGCUUAUAUGUGGAUGAUUUGCUUAUUUUUGGUUUGAAUAUUCAUGUUAUGAAUAAUGUCAAAACUUUAUUAUGUGCUAAUUUUGAUAUGAAAGACUUGGAUGAAGCUAGUGUAAUACUUGGUUUGAAAAUAACUAGGUCCGAAAAUGGGUUUUCUUUAGAUCAAUCCCACUACAUAGAAUUUUUUUUAAGAAAGUAUAAUUAUUUUGAUUGUAAACUAGCAUGUAUUCCUUCUGAUCCUAGUGUAAAAUUGUUCAAGAACACUGGUGACAGUAUUAAACAAUCUAAGUAUGUGAGCAUUAUUGAUAGUUUUCGUUAUGCUACUGAUUGCACUAGGCCUGGUAUAUCUUAUGUUGUAGGAGUUUUAUGCAGGUUCACUAGCAGACCUGGUUUGGAGCAUUGACAUGCUAUAGAGAGGCUUAUGAGAUACCUUAAAAGAACGAUGAAUUUCAGAUUACACUAUGAGAAGUUUCCCGUUGUCCUAGAAGGUUACAGCGAUGCUGAUUGGAAUACCCAUUCAUAUGACUCUAAAGCCACUAGUGGAUAUAUUUUUAGUAUUGGUAGCAGGGCUGUGUCAUGAAGUCGAAGAAACAGACUAUCUUGGCUCAGUCUACUAUAGAGUCAUAAUUAAUAACACUAGUUACGGCAAGCGAAGAAGCAGGAUCGUUGAGAAACCUACUAUCAUAUACCCAUUUAUGGGAGAAACCGAUUCUAGCAGUUUUUAUCCAUUGUGACAGCACAUCGGCAAUAGCUAAAGUACAAAACCGUUAUUAUAACAGGAACAUGCGACAAAUACGUCGUAAGCACAACACUGUAAGAGAUUAUCUCUCUAAUGGAGCUGUAAGAGUGGAUCAUAUACGGUCUGAAGAAAACUUGGCUAAUCCUUUAAUGAAAGGAUUAGCACGAGAAAAGGUUUGGAAAACCUCGAAAGGGAUGAGACUAAAGCCUUUAGAAAAUUGAGUCAUUUGUGAUAGCAACCCAACCUAUAGACUGGUGAUCCCAAUAAAUAGGUUUAAAGGGUAAUAAUAAGUCACAAGUGAUAUGAGUGAAGUUUUGCUAAUUUAAUUUGGAAAAUUAUUCCAUGUCCAUCCCUAAGAAGCCUGACAUCUUGAAGCGUUUUUAGGUUGAGAUUUUUUUUCUCUUAGUAAGGUCUAUGCUCUAUGUUGAGUGGGAUAUCUAGCUGCAGGAAUAUCCUUGAUAGUCUUACCUAUGUGGAUGUGGAAGUGAGGCCGCUUCCUAUGAAAUCUUGGGCAAGUUUCUAGAGCAUUCACUAUACUGGGAUAUAAGCACAUGAUCGUAAUAUGCUGACUUUUUAAACUUCACCUUAAUAAAGUUAUGUGUGUGGUGUUGUCAGAGAUAGAGUUCAAAACUAUAAGUUACUCUAGUAUAAUUUGGAUCACUAACACUAUGUACAUGUUCAAGUUGAGAAACACCUUUACUUAUGCAUAUCUUUAUGAUAUGUUGCUUGAUAUACAAUUUUUAAACAAAAACAAGUGGGGGAUUGUUGGAGCAGUUAUGUUUUUAUUUAAUAUAUGUGUGUGUACAUAUAUAUAUAUAUAUUUAUGAUUUGUUUUAUUAGAAACAUUAAAUAUAUAUAACUGUCAUUAGGAGUAAUUUUUAUUCGUAAAUAUAUUGGAGACGUUGUCAAUUAGGCGUAAUUUCCAAUCUUAAUUAUAUAGGAGACAUGAGGAAGUUUAUUACUUCAACAAAUUUGAAAUGCCUUCUCUGAAUAGAGAUGAAGAUCACGUCCACAUCCAUAUAUAAUCUAUCCGUUUUGAUUUGUAUGUUUUGGUUUUUUCCAGAUUUCUAGUCCUUAAUUUAUAAAUCCUUCAACCUCUAUUUCUUUACUUUGUAUAUAAAUACAAGUCCUGAGUAUCGAUAAAAAAAAGAUAUAUAUAUAUAUAUAUAUAUAUAUAUAGAGAGAGAGAGAGAGAGAGAGAGAGAGCUAUAAUCUGAUAAAUAAUUUUUGAAAUUAAGUUUUGAGAGCAACAUAUUGAAAGGGUGCAAGUUUGAAGGUUCUUCCAUUAUGCAAGGAAGAACCUUAUCAGAAGAAGGUUUUAGGCUGUUUUAUCAUGAGGACGACGUUGUGUUUGUGAACUGCUUGCACAUUUUGGACAGAGCCGCGAAACGUCUUAAAGAGAGCGACUUAGUCUGCGACUCAUCCCAAGAAUCAUUCAUCACUCAAGGCUUUUACAUUUUUCGGGUAACUUUGUUCCUUUCUAUUUCAGUUUUCAACAAACUACAUUAAUUUGACAAAACUAAAUUCUAUUGUACGUGACUUAAACAAAUAUAUAAAAUGAGAAUUGGCUUACAGAAAUGGUGAUUUAACUAAACAAAACAAGUAAAUGUAGAAACUUAAAAUAAUAGAAAUAAUUGAAGAAAAUUAGAUUGACAAGGCACUAGAGUUUGACCUUUACCAACAACACUCCUACGUAGUUCUUCCAAUUCCUUAAGUAAUCGAAAACACACAUGCCUUGAAGGUUGAGUUUUUCCUUAUGUAAUUUUACUUGUGACAUUCAAGCUAAAUCACAUAUCACUACAUGCAAUUCAUCCAUAACAUUGAGAUUAAAUAUAAACAUGAGUGAUUUAUUGAUCUUGGUGAAAAUCCUUUUAAUAAACCAUGUAAUCCCUAAGAGUAUCAUAUUUACCUUAGGAGAAAUUACAAUCCUCAAUCACAAGAAUCAUAACCAAUUUUAACGUGAUAUUCGUUCAAAAUUACAUUCGAUGACUGUUCUAAGCAUCCCAAUGGUGAUCAAGCAUCAAAGCACGUAGAUAAUUUAAUUUAGUAAUUGAAAAUAUCAAAGUAAGCAUGUAACAAUACUUAAACAAUUAAAAGAGACGUAUUCAUGUUGAAGCUCAUGACCUCACUCAAGCGAAAGAAAAUUAAUUAUACAUACUUAUCUGAAAACAUAAAAAAUUAUCCAUAAAAAAUCAAAGCAAAAAUACAACCUUUAUUUACAAGAAUUAUUCCUGCUGAGCUGCUUCCAUCCUCCGCUCUCUGCCUUUGCUCUCUUCUUCUACUGAGCCUUCCGUCCUUCUCCCUGCUUCUCUUCUGUUUUUCCUCGUCUGCUUCGUGCCCUUCCCUCGACCAAAUGCAGCUAUCUGCUUUUUCCCAGCCACAAAGGCCCAAUGGAAGACAAGUCAAAUUUCACUUCGGUAGUGGGAUUGGCAAGGCAAAGUACAAAGUUACCUGUCUCUUUCUUUUUUCUCCACUUGCCGUGUCCCAUCUUGGAAAAUUCCAAAAACGUUCGGUCAUUCCCAGUUGCCAAAGCAGGUUGGAGCUUUUGAACUCUUCUUCCGCUUUCUACGCACACCCACUACCUCACAACUACAACUUUAUUAGCCAAUCUAAUAUUACAUUUUUAAUUGCUUACCAUGGCCUCUUCCAAUUUUCUCAAGUUUCUACAAAUGGAUUUUUAUUUAGAAAAAAUAAUGAAAAGUGUUUGAAAAUUUUAAGUUUUAAUGAAAAUGAUAAAAAUAUGUUGUAAGUGAAUAUUAUUAAGAUUGACUUUUUAAAAUAAAAAUGUGAUUUUUUAUUAAAAUAAAUAAUACCAGGACUGUUUCGUUAAAACUUCAUUUUUAUUUUCUAAUACUGAUGGAGAAGGAAAAGGAGAGAGUGACAUAAAGAAAAUAUGGAAAUAAUUUCCACAAUUCGUUUUCUAUGUUUGUACACUUCCAAUAUUUUUCAUCACUCGAUUCUCACACCAAAGGAAACAUAAUCAUGAUAUUCCCGCAUCAUUCUUUUUUUUAUUUAUUUAGCCGAAAGCUCGUCCUAGAAACAUAAUAUAACAAAAGUAUCACAAAUACUUAAAACUUCCCACUAAACUAAACAAGAUAACAACAAUAAUAGGGCUAAAUAUAUAGUAUAAAUAUUGAUUCAUCAAUAUACACAAUGAAGUUGCUUUCAUCUAUAAAAUCUAAGAGCUCUUAGAUUUAUUAACAUGCCGAAACAUUUCAACGAGAUGUGGAUCCGAAAAAUGGCCAGCGUUAUUGGAUUGUUGAGCUUGUACGAACGGCAUGUUAUUUGUAUUUACAAGCGUGGGACGAGAUGCUGCACACACGAGAUUCACAACCUGCAUGAUUCCAGCUUGUGAAGGCGCACAGGCGAGUCUUACUUAACAGCAGAAUACCCUGCACCACAGGAUGCUGCAGUGAAAUUAUCAAAUUUCAUUUUUUUCCCUAGUUGCCAACAUCAUUUUAGUCUCCUAGGAGAUGGCACGAUUGGUGAGAAUGAUUUAUGUGGAACAGGUUCACCGUAAACGUGGCAUCCCAGUUUAAUAAUACAAUAUUACAUGACAUUGUCUUAUUGGACCGAGGCGCAAUAGUGACGAUGAAUUCAUUUUAUAUAAGUUGCUCUUAUUGUUGGGUGUCCUUACGCAAAUUUUUCAAGACAAGGUGGAUUUUUAAUCAAAGAUAGUUGUGAUCUACAUCAAUGUUGUGCGGAAGCGCCAAAUAUGAAACCAAUAAUCUAAUACGACAAAAUAUGACAAGACAAAUAAUCCAAAUUGACACAAUGUUUUAUACUGAUUCAGCGUAAGCCUACGUCUAGUUCAGAGACAGCGAAGAAAUUCCACUAAUAGUCAAAAUGGAGAUUACAAAUUUAGUUCAACUCUUAAAUCCCAAAACUCACAUACACCCAAGGUAUUAAAUAUCGAUGAGAUCGGAAAUAUUGGUAAUAAAAAAACACGGAAAUUUCGAUAGAAAUAUCGGGAUAUUAUCGAUAUCAAUAAAAAUUGAAUAAAAACCACGGAAAUUGUAAGAAAAACUUGGAAAUUUUUAUUGAAACUUUGUAAGAUGUUUAUUUAGUCAAUUAUCUAUUAGUUUAUCACAAAAACUUGGAAGGAAAUGCAUUGUAUGAUAGAUAGAACUGAUUUAAGUUGAUUAUAUAACGAGCUGGUAAAUAUUGUGAGUGUAGAAAAUAUGUAGUAAUUAAUUAAAGAAAUUUAAACACACCAUAAUCAUUUAUAUAUAAUGAAUUAUGCAAUAUUUUACACUUUAUACAUUAAAUGGUAAGAUACACGAAUGACUUAGCAAGGUUUAAAAUAUCGAUGAUAUCGGAAAUAUCGGUAGUCCAAAAAUACGAAAAAUUUCGAUUGAAAUAUCAGGAUAUUAUGAAUAUUUUAGACCAUACAUACACCUAAUAGCUCUCACUCGUACAAAGAACAAAUGAAGAAGAUGGAAACACAUACCAAAUCUCAUCUCUCAAAAGCCACAAAACGUAGCAUCAAUAUCUUUGACUGAGUGAUUACAGACAAAGGGAGUUACAAACAAAAGGGGUUACAAACAAAGGGGGGAGAGCAGCAGCCUUCUUCAAAUAGAAGAGUCGAAUGCUCUCUCCUCUGCUCACUUCUUUUCUGCUGCUCUCCUCUACUUAUCUCUCCGCAAGAUCCAGCAAGGAAGAUAAGGUGCACAAUGAUCAACAACAACAACAAAUUUUUUUCCGACUAAAUGGAAUCGGGAAUCAUAAAAAUGUAACUUUUUUUUCUUUUGCCAACCACAAAGUGCCGAAAGAAAAAAAAAUCAACCCUUUCUUUUUUUUCUACAAACAUCAUCAUUAUGCCUCCUCAUCAUGUUCCCACAUCCCCUUUUCUUAUUCUAUUUUUCUUGCUUCUGGCUUCUUUAACAAAUGCAGCAGUUGCUGCCAAUUAAAACAAAGAAUGUGAUAUUCACACAUUCUUUUUUACUUCUUUUAUAUUCUUUUAAUUUUGGAUCGUCGGAUCGGAUGAAUUGAAAAAAAUUAAAUGACAUAAAUUAACAAGAGUUGUGAGAGAAGUAAAAAAAAGUGUGUGGAUAGCACAUCCCUUAAAACAAUAGGAAAACCACCCUGUGGCUUUCACAUGGACCAAAUAAACAAAAGGAAAACCACCAUGUGGAUUUAUUCCUCAUAAUCCAUCAAAUCAGAAAAUUCGUGUCGUUGAAAUUUGAUCAAACGGCUAAAAUUAUUAUAACUUUUUAAAAUGAAUUUUUAUUUAUAACCUUAGAUCAAAUUUCAACUGUAUAAAUUUUCUGAUUUAAUGGAUCAGAAGGAAGGAAGGACCCGUUUCCUUACGGAUAACCUAAUUCAAUAUGAGCCAAUCGCUGCCUUAUCACAUCAUUGAAUCCAAUUGCUGCCUUAUCACAUCAUAAUUCAAUAUGAGCCAAUCGCUGCCUUAUCACAUCACUUUCAUAGUUUAAUUCACCUUGCAAUCCAGAAAGUAGUCUGCAACGGAUUCGGAUCCCAUCCGGAUUCAAAAUGUGGAAAUGUCUUAAUCAUUAAUCAAUCAGAAAUUAUUUGACUUGUUAUUUUAAAUUAAACACAAAUAGUAUUUGACGAAAACUAACGUAUGAAUGAACGGUUAGGAUGUGAGGAAGUGUAUAAUUCCCACCAAAUGGAUCUAGAGAGGAUCCUCUUCUGUCUGCAACCUAACCAGAAAUACAUCACACAGAAUUCAAAAAUGUUCAAAAUUUCAUAUAAUUGAGCAAAUAUUCAUCAAUUAUAGAUGCUUUGUCUGCCAGACAAGGGCAGGAUACAGAAUGGCAGAACAGAUUAUAUGCUUUGUGAUCGACAAGUUAAUUCAACUACUCAUCACCACAGAAGCAAACCUUUCGAGAAAUGCAAGUACUGAAGUUGGUUUCAUCAAAGAUGAACUCGAGAGCAUCCGAUCAUUCCUCAAGGAAGCAGAUGCUAAGGCUGCAGCAGCAGACGGAGAGACGGGGAAUGAUGGUGUCAAAACUUGGGUCAAUCAAGUAAGAGAAGCAGCUUUUUAUAUUGAAGAUGUGAUUGAUGAAUAUUUGCUCCGCAUCUUACAGCAUCAUCAACACCAUGCAUUCCUUCGUUCUUUCCACAAAAUUAUCCGGUUGGCUAAAAAAUUGAGAUCACAGGAUGGGAUAGUUUUGAAAGUUGACGGUAUAAAAGAAUUGGUUCGUGGAAUCAAGGAGAGAAGUGAAAGAUAUGGAUUCAAAUCCCUUGAUCAGCAAGGCCAGAGCAGUGGAGAAAACAACGACCCUCGAGUGGCUUCCCUUUUCAUUGAGCAAGCUGAAAUCGUGGGGAUUGAAUCUACCAGAGAUGAGCUGACUGGUUUGUUGGUAGAAGAAGCACCAAGACGUAAAGUGAUAUCAGUGGUUGGCAUGGGAGGACUUGGGAAAACCACUCUUGCCAAGAAAGUAUAUGACCAGCCGAAGGUGAUGGCACACUUUGAUUGCUAUGCUUGGAUUACGGUGUCCCAAUCGUACAGGGUUGAGGAUCUUCUGAGGACGGUAAUAAAAAAGUUCUACAUUUCAAGGAAGGAGCUUUUCCCAGAGGAAAUCGACACAAUGGAUGAGGAGUCCCUGAUUAGCACAGCAAGAGAGUAUUUGCAGCAAAAGAGGUACGUUGUUGUGUUUGAUGAUGUGUGGAAAGUAGAUUUUUGGGGGGCUAUAGAACAUGCUUUACCCGAUAAUAAAGGCGGACGAAUAAUUAUCACUACACGGAUUCAAGGUGUUGCCAACUUUUGCAGAAGAUCUUGUUUUGUUCAUGUUCAUCACUUGCAGCAUCUGCCUCCAAACAAGGCAUGGGAAUUGUUUUGCAGAAAGGCAUUUCAGUUUGAAUUGGAGGGAAAGUGUCCUGAAGAUUUGGAAGAGUUGUCUCUUAACAUCGUCAAAAGAUGCGAAGGACUACCUUUGGCAAUUGUUUCCAUAGCUGGUCUGCUGUCAACCAAAGCUAAAGUUGUGUCUGAAUGGCAGAAGUUAUACAAUAGCUUAAGUUCAGAGUUAGAAAGCAAUCCCCACCUUACAAGCCUCACAAGAAUCAUAUCCCUCAGCUAUCACCAUCUGCCGUAUUACCUCAAAUCGUGUGUAUUAUACUUUGGCAUCUUUCCCGAGGAUUACUCAGUUAGUUGCAUAAGAUUAGUUCGGUUGUGGAUCGCUGAAGGUUUUGUGAAACCGAAGAGGGGCAAGACACUAGAAGAGGUUGGAGAGGAAUACUUGAUGGAGCUAAUUCACAGAAGCCUGGUUCAAGUUUCAGAAGUUUACAUUGAUGGAAAAGCUCGAGGUUGUAGAGUUCAUGAUCUAUUGCAUGACGUCCUCCUUAAGAAGGGGUUGGAUUCGAGCUUCUGUCAUGUGUUAUCAAAAGACGAGUCAACUUUUAAACCAACAACUCGACGUCUCUCAAUGGACAUCAGUCCUUCUGAGGCCGUGGGAAGCUUUACACAAUCUCAUAUUCGUUCUGUAUUUACUUUCAACCUAGAAGAAUGGCCUGGGUCUUUUCUCGAUACAUUGAGUGGAAACAUUAAACUUCUGAAAGUAUUGGAUUUCACAGAUGCUCCAAUCAAUCAACUUCCGAAAUAUGUGGGGGAUUUGUAUCUCUUGACGUAUUUAAGCUUGAGGAAUACAAGGGUGGAGUUGCUUCCAGACUUCAUAGGCAAUCUACAAAACUUGGAAACCUUGGAUCUAAAACAGUCUUUGGUGUAUGAAAUACCAGCCAAGAUCAAUAAGCUUGUUAAGCUGCGGCAUCUUUUGGCCUACCAUCGUGACUACAACUACGACGUGGGUUUGUAUUGGAAUUUGGAAAGAGGAGUGAAGAUACAUGAAGGUAUUGGAUGCUUACAAGCUUUGCAAAAUUGUCCUAUGUGGAGGCGAAUCAUGGAGGGAUCAGGUUAAUCAAAGAAUUGGGAAAGUUACGACAGCUACGGAAGUUAGGCCUAAAAAACUUGAAAAGUGAAGAUGGAAGGGCUGUGUGUGCUUCUAUUGAAAAGAUGAACCACCUUGAAUCUCUAAUUUUAACUGCAAUAAAUGAAGAUGAAGUCCUUGAUCUAGAAUCCAUUUCAACUCCACCACAAUUUAUUCGUGCUCUCUUCUUGAUAGGGCGUUUAGAGCAGUUGCCAGGUUGGAUUUCAAAUCUUCAACACCUCGUCAGAUUGGUGAUUUGUUGGUCAAGGUUGAGAGAUUCCCCACUAAAAGCCCUUCAAAAUCUACCUAAUCUGUUGGAGCUAACUUUGGAUAUCAAUGCAUAUGAUGGUGUGCAGCUGCAUUUUGAGGAAGGAGGAUUUCAUAAACUUAGAAAGCUACAUCUCAGGGAAAUGAUGGGACUAAAUUCGUUGAUCAUAGACGAUGGUGUCAUGCCUCUUCUCCAAGAGUUUCGCAUUGGGCCUUCCCCACAAAUGAAUGAGGUACCCUCUGGCAUCCACCAUCUCCGGAAUCUGACAUAUCUUCAUUUCUAUGACAUGCCAAAGGAGUUUGCGCGACAGAUGGAUCCAAAAAAUGGCCAACAUUAUUGGAUUGUUGAACAUAUACAAAAUGUUCGUUUUAGUUACAAGGUCGGACCAAGAUGGCGUGUAUAUGAAAUUCACGCCCUGCGUGAUUCCAACUUUUCUCUUUGGUGGAAUGCUUGAUUCCAACUUGUGAAACCAAGCAUGGGAAUGGGAUAUGCUUUGGUUAAGAGUUGGUUGUUAGCUCUGGUAUCCUAGUUUCUCUUGCAGGUUGACUGGGAGGGGCUCUUUCUCUUCUGUUUUCUUUGUGUCGUCCAAUCGUAUUCCUAGCAUUUUCCUUGUAAUUUUAUUGGUGGUUGCAAUAAAAAUAUCCUAUCCAAUUGAUUUUCUCUAGGAAAAUGAUAAACCGUAUGCUCCUUUUAACCUCACUUUGAUAAUUGAAGUUAAAAUAUUAAAUUUUUACUAUUUUUGAUCUUACCAAUUCUUUACUAUUUUAUAUUCUUUAUAUUAAUUUGUAAUCUCUAACAUAUUUUGUUAAUCAAAGGGUAGAUUUUGUGGAUUAUAGAAAUUUCAUGAAUCAUGAUUGUUUUUUUUUAUUUGCCAAAAAAUUCAUGAAUCAUGAUUGAGCAUUCUCCUUUUGUAUGUCACACAUAUUGAUCCAGCCACAUAUUUUUUGUAUGCACAAUAAUGAAAAUGUGUUAAGCGUUUAACGGUGUAAAUUCAAACUCCGUCGAUAACUAACGUAACAAAAUUUAUCGACAGACAAAAAAAAUAAAAAUUAGGUACAAGAUGUAAAGGUGAGGGCCCACAAAUGCAAGCGUUGGGGAUAGCGGAGUGGAUCCCACGAUUUCAAAAUUAUGGACAGGAGGAACAUUUCUCUCAAACUUGGGCGCUAAAAAAAGUCGUCGUCGUUUUUCCUUUUCUGGCUGAGUUUGCCUUCUUAAACCAACCCGACAUUCUCGGCCCAAACAAAUGUUCAAACCUUUCCGUUACUUCCCUUCACAAAUUUCCAAUUAGGGUUUCACAUUAACCUUGAUCAGAACUUCUACGUACAUAUAUAUACAUAUAUAUAUUUAUAUAUAAUCUCUCUCUCCCUCUGUUUCUGAAUUUUGAUUUCCCGGGAAGGUUUCAAACCCGAUCGUUUCUUCGAAAGUCUCUGAAAGCUUUUCGACAAAACAAAAAUCCAAAAUCUUUGUGAUAUCAAAAAGGAAAUAAAUUUCAAAACGCGCAUGGAAUUGGCUGGUUCAUUUGCCUGAAAGUUGGUUCAGAUAGAGAUGGAGGGAGGGGCGAGAGAGAUGGACGAAGAAUUGCUGGAGUUCGCGAGGGAGGCUUUCGAGGGGGAUGAAAUUGACAUGGACUACGAAUUGAUGCGCCAAAGGUUCUACGAUUUCACUAGGCCGGAAUCCUAUUGGGAGGCGGAGGAGGCGGAGGAAUGGUUCCGGUCCGCCGGAGGCUAUCACCCCACGCGUAAGCGAUUUCCAGAACAUUUGUUUGUUGGUUUCUUAUCAUUGAUAGACAUAUAUUGUGUGGCUGAGAUACUGCCACUUGUAUGCAGAUUAGAGAGUUAGUUAGAAAGUUAGUUAGGUAGUUUGUUUAGAAUAUUGAAAAGGGUAUAAAUACUGAUGUAUGUGGGAUUGCUUAGUAAGUAAGAAAAGUAAUAUACUGGAAGUGUUUGGUUUCUACUUCUCUCUCUAAAUUGCUUGAAUCUCUUCUUCUUCUCACUAUAUUUCUGUAGUUUAAUAUGGUAUCACUCGCCAUUAGAGCUUGAUCAGCUUCUUCGAUCCGAGUCUUCCGCAGCUCCAACACUUCGUCUUCCUCUGAAUUCUUGCUUCUUGUACGCAUUUCUUGAUUGCUUUGACUUCGUCUUCUCUGCUUUCUAGGGUUUAUUGUUUCUGGGUGCUCUGCAACUACGAUCUGGUUGCGUCUUCGUCUUCUUCUAAUAUUGCACUCCAGGUGUUUGAUCCAUUGUUUCAGUGAGUUUCGGCAACGAUGGUAACAGCUUCUCAACUUCAGCUUCUUCAAUCUCCGAUCACUGCUCUAGUUUCGUCGAUUUCUACAUCUGUGAAUGUGAAGUUGGAUGAUUCGAAUUAUCUCACUUGGCAUUUUCAAAUGCAAUUACUGCUUGAGAGUAAUGGAAUUCUAGGGUUUGUCGACGGCACGCAUCCCUGUCCUCCUCGACAUUCCUCACCAUCUGGAGAUUCUGGUGUUAAUUCCUCAAAUUCAACAACUUCUUCUGCUAGUGAUGAGUAUUUGAUUUGGAUAAUGCAUGAUAAAGCCCUGAUGCAGUUACUGACUGCUUCUUUGAGUCCAAUGGCUCUGUCGUGUGCUAUUGGUAGUACAAGCUCUCGGGAUCUCUGGAUUCGAUUGCAAGAACAAUUCUCCACAGUCUCCAAGACUAGCAUAUUUCAGAUGAAGUCUAAUCUUCAAACCAUUAAAAAGGGAUCUGAUUCUGUUGCUCAAUAUUUACAGAAAAUCAAAGAGGCCAGAGAUUAUCUUUCAGCUGCUGGGGUGUAUUUUGUUGAUGAAGAUAUUGUCAUUCUUGCGUUGAAUGGUUUGCCACCAGAGUAUAAUACAUUCAGAACAGUAAUAAGGGGACGUGAGAAUGUUAUAUCUCUGAAGGAGUUUAGGACACAAUUACUUGCUGAAGAAGCUAUUCUGGAAUCCACUGUUAAUGCACCUUUUAUGACUGCAAUGGUUGCUCAUAAUUUACCUCCGAGAGCACCUACUCAAUCCAAUUUUGUGGCUGGUGGUUUCAAGCAAUUCAAUGCUCCCAAAAACAAGGGGAAGGGCCGGUUUCAUCAAAAUAACAGGACUUUUUCAUCCAAGCCGUAUCUUCCUACUCAAACUCAUGUUCUCCAAAAUCCAAGUCCUGGUGUUCUUGGUUCUUUUCCUCAUCAGCAGCACUCCCCUCCUUCUGCUCCACAUCUCCUCUUAUGUCAACUUUGCAAUUGUGGUGGUCAUUCUGCGCCUUUCUGUCCAUCCAAUUCUUCUGCGAAAUCCCGAUGUCAGAUUUGUGGCAGGUUUAAUCACAGUACAUGGUUCUGUUUUUACAAUGACAAGGGUCCCAACUAUAUUGGUGCUGGCAAUGGUUCUUAUCCACAACCAGGGCAUCCAUAUUCUCAGCAGGCUUCUUAUUCACAGCAAGGGUAUUCAUCACAGUUUCCUGCUCCACAACAAAUUCAGUCUCAGGCACCAAUGCAGGCUUUUCAUACUAUGGUGCCACAACCCUCUCCUCCAGCAGCAUCUUCAUCUCCUUCCCAAGUUUGGAUCACUGAUUUCGGGGCAACGAAUCAUAUGACUGCUGAUCUUUCCAAUCUGUCUCUAGCUUUACCCUAUCCCACUAAUGAAGUCAUACAAACUGCCAAUGGUGAAGGUUUGCCUGUAUCUCACAUUGGUAGUACUGUUAUAAAACCAUCUCUCCAUCCUAUAAAAUUGAAUUCUGUGUUAUAUGUUCCCAAAUUAACACAGAAUCUUCUAUCUGUCCAUCGCAUAUGUUUGGAUAAUAAUUGUUGGCUUAUCUUUGAUGCCUUCUGUUUUUGGAUCCAGGACAAGGCCACAGGGAGGGUACUCUAUAAAAGAUUGUGCAGUAAUGGACUCUACCCACUCUCAUCUCUAGCCAAUGUGUCACCUGCUGGUUCUCAAAGCAUUGCUUCAAAUAAAGCCCUCCUUGGUCAGUUGGUUACUUCUUCUACUACCUGGCACAAUAGAUUAGGACAUCCAUCUAAUUCAGUUGUCUCUCUUAUGUUGCAUAAGUCCAAAGUUGCUUUUGCAAAAGACCCAAAUCCUGUUCUGUGUCCUAGUUGUCUUGAGGGUAAAUUCUGUAAACUUCCAUUUGCAUUAAGUGUCAAUAAAUCUGUAACUCCUUUUGAUGUAGUGCAUAGUGAUCUUUGGGGUCCUGCACCUUGUAAAUCUGUGGAUGGAUAUCGGUACUAUGUCACCUUCAUUGAUGAAUGUACCCGGUAUUCCUGGAUUUUCCCAUUGAUGAAUAAAUCCGAUCUUUGUGCCACUUUUAUUGCUUUUCAUGCUUAUGUUCUCACUCAAUUCUCUGCAAACAUUAAAAUUUUGCAAAGUGAUGGUGGUGGUGAGUACAUUAGCAAGUCACUUCAAUCUUUUCUUCUCCAAAAGGGCAUUUCUCAUCAAAAAUCCUGUCCUUAUACCCCUGAACAAAAUGGGAUGGCUGAACGUAAACACAGACACGUUAUUGAAACCACAAUUACUUUGUUGCAAACAGCUAAACUGCCUUCCCAGUUUUUGGUCCUUUGCAUGUCAAACUGCCAUUUAUCUCAUUAAUAGAAUGCCUACUCCCAUUCUCCAUAACCAGUCUCCUUUUGAAGCCUUAUAUGGUGCUGUUCCAGUGAUUCAUCACUUGCGAACGUUUGGUUGUGCUUGUUAUCAUUUCUUAAGACCUUACAAUGCUACCAAACUUCAAGCUAAGACUACAAAAUGUGUGUUUUUGGGAUAUGCAUCCAAAUUCAAGGGCUUCAUUUGUUUUGCAGUUUCUACACAUAAAUUCUUUGUGUCUAGACAUGUGGUAUUUAGUGAACAUGAGUUUCCUUAUAAUGACUUGUUGUCCCGAGCCACCACACCACAAUCUCCUACUUCUGUUCACAUUACUGACCUGUCAUCUCUUCCUGUCGUCCCCUCACAGCCUAUAGUCACUAUACCCUCCUCUCAUACUCCUAUUUCUCCUGAGUCUCCAUUACAUUCCCCUUCUGCUCCCGGGUCUUCAUCCUUCUCACCAACCACGUCUCAGUUUCUUGACCCACCACCCUCUCAUCAGUCCAUUACUGGUGCAGUUUCACCCACUGAUCACAACCCUGUGGUACUUGAACAUAGUCCUGUUACACUACAAGUGGUUCCUUCCAUUCCCUCCUUGAAUAUACACCCUAUGCAGACUAGGAGUAAGAGUGGUAUCAGCAAAAAGAAGGUUCUUUUGUCUGCUCUUGCUACUUCCAUGGAUGCUGAUUUGUCUAUGUGUGAACCCAAAACAUACAAAUCUGCUCUCAAGAGUCCUGUGUGGUUUCAAGCAAUGAAGGAAGAGAUCAGUGCUUUGCAUACUCAAGGAACAUGGAGUUUAGUUCCUUUACCUGCAAACAAGAAUUUAGUAGGGUGUAAAUGGAUUUUCAAACUCAAGAGACAUUCAGAUGGUUCAAUUGCACGCCAUAAAGCUCGAUUGGUUGCCAAGGGAUUUAGUCAAGAACCUGGGCUGGAUUACAGUGAGACCUUUAGUCCAGUUGUUAAACCCACCACAGUGAGGAUUGUUUUAGCACUUGCUGCUCACUUUAAUUGGUCACUUCGGCAACUAGAUGUCAAGAAUGCGUUUCUCCAUGGCAUAUUACAGGAUGAGGUGUAUAUGGAUCAGCCACCUGGCUUUGAGGAUCCCCAGAAUCCUACUUUGGUAUGUCAAUUGCAUAAGUCCCUAUAUGGCUUAAAACAGGCCCCGAGGGCAUGGAAUGACAGGUUUACUUCUUUUCUGCCUAAGUUGGGCUUCCAUAACACCUAUUCUGAUUCCUCCUUAUUUGUGAAACCUGUUGGUGCCAAUAUUGUGAUCUUAUUGCUAUAUGUCGAUGAUAUUAUCAUCACAGGAAGUGCAAUCACUGAGAUUCAGCAGGUCAUUGAUGCUUUAACUUCUGAAUUUGACAUCAAGGACUUAGGUCCUCUUCACUACUUCCUUGGCAUUCAGAUUUCCAAGACUGCCAAGGGGUUAUUUUUGUCCCAACAGAAAUAUGUACAGGAUCUCCUUGUCAAAACAGAAAUGCUUGACUCCAAGCCUUGUGACACACCCUGCUUACCUUCUACCAGGUUACUCAAGGAUGAUGGUGACCCUUAUCCUAAUCCUACUUUAUAUAGGAGUGUGGUGGGUGCUCUUCAAUAUCUAACGUUCACACGCCCUGAUAUAGCUUUCUCUGUGCAUCAAGUCUGUCAGUUUAUGCAAUAUCCUAUGGUCUCUCAUUUCACUGCAGUUAAAAGGAUCCUUCGGUAUUUGAAGGGCACUAUGUCCUGUGGCAUUACCUAUUCUCAAGGGGACUUGGCACUAUCUGCAUUUAGUGAUGCCGAUUGGGCUGGAGAUCCCAAUGAUCGGCGAUCUACAACAGGGUCUGUGGUGUUCCUCGGGCAUAAUCCUAUCUCAUGGUCCUCUAAGAAACAGCAGACAGUGUCCCGAUCUUCGACUGAGGCAGAGUAUCGUGCUUUAUCCUCCACUGCAGCAGAACUUGAUUGGAUUCAACAAAUCCUUGCUUUUCUGCAUUUUCCGAUGUCUGCUCCUCCUGUUUUAUACUGUGACAACCUUUCUGCUAUAGCCUUGUCUUUCAAUCCUGUCCAACAUCAACGGACCAAACACAUUGAAAUUGAUGUGCAUUUUGUUCGAGAGCGGGUUUCUCAGAACAAGCUUGUGGUGCAGUUUGUGUCCUCCAAGGAGCAGUUGCUGAUAUCUUGACCAAAGGCCUCAGUUCUUCAUUGUUCCUUUUUCAUUGUAACAAUCUCAUGUUAGGAUCAUCCAAACAUGAGCUUGAGGGAGGAUGAUAGACAUAUAUUGUGUGGCUGAGAUAUUGCCACUUGUAUGCAGAUUAGAGAGUUAGUUAGAAAGUUAGUUAGGUAGUUUGUUUAGAAUAUUGAAAAGGGUAUAAAUACUGAUGUAUGUGGGAUUGCUUAGUAAGUAAGAAAAGUAAUAUACUGGAAGUGUUUGGUUUCUACUUCUCUCUCUAAAUUGCUUGAAUCUCUUCUUCUUCUCACUAUAUUUAUGUAGUUUAAUAAUCAUGUCCCAAAAACAAUGAAUUUUGGAUCAUCUCCUAUGAUUACCACAUUAAUUAAUGAUCGUUUUCUGCUAAUAAAUUUCAACAUCUACAUGUUUAGUUCAUGCAUUUUAAAUAUGUUACGUUGUUUUAUAUGAACAGAUUAGAGAUUAAUUGAAUUAUAAAUAAUGUAAUUUGAUUAGAUUAAUUUGUUACCACUAACUUUGUAUUUUCUUUGUUUAAUUUGUUUCAAAUCCUUUAGCCUUCCUUGAAAAAUUGUUGAAUUGGCAAAAAGAGAAUCAUCCAGUACCUGUAAAAACCUCUGCGGAAUCGAAAGAUGUUGAAGUUACUAGAUGCAGUACCUUGAAAAAUUGCAUGGAAACGGAGAUCUCUGCAUUCGUAGACGAUAAUGACAAAGGUACAUUCGGCCUCAUCGACUCAUGUCUUAUUAGAUUUUCGACGCAAUGUGAUAGUUCGUUGUAAAAUUACCGCACUUGGAAAAUUUUAUGUCUGUUAUCUGAAUCGACUUUGCCUGAAUUAGUACAUGAAGUUGUAUCUCACUGUUAUGUUUUAUGUUCAUGUUUCGACAUGAUUAGAGUUUUCUAAUCACAUGGCUCAAGACACUCUGAAAACCAAACUGAAGUCCUCGGGUAAGUCACCACAUCUAUUAAGGAGUUCAACGUUAAUGAAAUUCACGGCGAGUCAGUUGGCCAAGCAAAAUCAGCACCGAGAGGUUCACUCCAAUCGGUUAUUAAGGAGGUGCUGUUAUUUUUCUCUGAUGUUUCUGUUGUCAUUAAUGUAUGUUUUGUUCUAAUUGUUUGGUGGUCUAGUUUUCUAACUUGUCCCAUUUUCCGACUCUUGAUUACAGAGUUGCGAAAAAGCUCGAGAAACUCGAUGAGAAAUCACAGAAUUCUCCGCCACCUACGAUGGGCUGCGAAAAUUCGAAGCAAUGUAGCAUAGCACUUUGCAAAUUCGGUAGUGCUAUCACACGUGCAUUCUUACUUCUCACUAACCCCUCUCAAUUUUUCGGCCAUUGGAAAAAUAAGUGUGUAAAUAACACUAUCCUACAAAUUACGCAACCGAAACUAUAACAGAAGAGCGAUUAUAACGUAUUAAAGUACCAUCUCACUAAAUUAUCCAACAAUGUUUCAGAGAUUAGGAACAAUCAUACUACUUUCAGCUCAGUCAUUCCAUCAAACGGCUGGUUCGCUGCAAUUCCACUUAUGCUCAAAUCACUACCGUCCGUUCCUACCAUCGAUUCCAUCAAAUUCUCCGAAACCCAUUUCUCAAUCAAAUCCAAACACAGCUGCAACCACACCCAGAAAAUUAAAAAGUCGAACUUUACAAAACUCCACUCCGAAAACAUAAAUUACACAAAACCCAACAAAAUCUCACCCUGUUCUCGGACAAUCCGACUUGAAUAACCCCAUCCGGAUUAUCCACCCUCUCGUACGGGUCCUCCGAAGCCCUAUCCAACCCGAUAUAGUACGGCGAGUCAUUGGGCUUCGCAAUCCAGCUCGCCCGGGAGGACAUCCGGACCCGGCCCAUGGACCCGCGGGUGGACAAGCUGGACCGCGACAGCGUUCUGGGGAGCUCCGCCAGGUUGGAGGAGGACUGGGAGGGGGAAGGUGGAUCGGGUUUGGAGGGUCGCCGUCGUUUUAGGUAGAGCUGGAGGCAGUAAUAGAGAGCACAUGGGAUUAGAGAGGCGAGGAUGAGGCCGCCUCUGCCUUGGACGACGCCUUGGAGUGGCACAAUCAGUCUCAUCGCGGUGACUCCGGUGGGCUUGUUUCGGGUUGGGUCGGAGUCGGGUUGGCCGGUCCAGGUCUCGAGCUGCAGUGGGAGGGUUUCGGGUUGGCCGUUGGUUGGCGUGGAGGGAUUGAGUGAGAUUCGAGAGCCCUGCGAGGGAAGUGUGUGUUUUGCAGUUUCGCUACCAGAAACUUUUGGUCUGGUUAUGAUUGGCACCUGCCAGUUUCCAUCUUUGCAUCUUUUGUUGGUGGCGUGCAAACACCAUCGUCGUAUAAUAACAAAAAAACGAUUUCAUUCUUUUUGGGGCUAAAGAUGUAAUUUUGAAUCAAAUGCUUUUCUUAUCAUAUUUUUUUAUACCGUAACCGUUAUCUAAUAAAGAUAAGAUACAUAUGUGUGUAGACCUUACUUUUAUUAGAGAAAUUGAGAAUUUUUACUGUGCUCAAAACAAUAGUUGUACCAUAUGUCCUGGUGCAAAUACUAAAUAUUAUUCUGUGUUUCGAGCACAUUAAAAAAUCUCUCGGAUCACAUUGUGUUUGGACCUGAUUUUACACAUCGGCCUAAGCAAUCGAGGCCGUUGAGUAAGCAUGGUUCUCAACCGUUGGAUAAGAAAGUUUAGAUAUUAUUGUUAAGAGAUAAUAUUAUGAUUUUUAAUCAUAAUAAUUAUUUUUUUAAUAAGUUAUCUCGGUUUUUAUGCAAAAUAAAUGGGAUGGAGGCAAGUAGAGUUGUGAUGGGGACGUGAGCUUUGAAUCAGGUUGGUUUGUUUUGCUGGACAUGCAUGCAUGGGAUGUAAAGAUAAUGAAGUGAUAGGGGAUAAAUCCAAACAUGCCAAAACGUGUAAUUUGCAAAAGAAUUGUGCAAUAUGGAGAUUCUAUCCUAAUGCAUGGUUUUUUGGGAUUGGUUUUGUGCACGUGGCAUGCGACAAUGGAGAUGAUGGUUUUGCAUGGUGAUGGCAAUAUGGGUUUAAAGGUUUCUCAUGUUUUUUAAUAAGAAGCCUAGGUGGGUUAGAUCUCUAGUGAGAUGUGAUAAAGCCUAGGUAGGCUUUAUUUAUCUGAAGGAUAUGUGCGGCGUAUUUGAUACGGGAUCAGGGUUUAUCUGAAGGAUAUGCGCAGCGUAUUUGAUACGGGAUCAAGGUCAAUUCCACAAAAUAGAGUUGCAGUUGGACUCUACAAAAUUAUUUGGCCGCGUCACACAACAUUUGCUCCUAUAAAUAUAGAGGUAGUGGCAACGGAAGAAGGACCCCUGCAAAUCAAUACAAAAUUGCCCUGCGCAAAUUCUCACAACUUGUGAUUUUUCUUUUCCCUUUUUUCGCUGACACAUCUUCCGUUGGCAUCAACAGCACUGUGGAAGCAACCGGUGAUAUCUUAAGUCGGCAUAGAUAGCUCUGUCACCGUAGAAUCAGUCGGUCUCGCAAUACUUUCCGUUGGCAUCAACAGCACUGCGGCGAGAACGACCGAUUACCUAUCCAAGUCUCGGUCGAGAAGGAUUUCUGAAUCCUUAUUGGUCGAGGUCAUCUCAUCAGCCUUCUCGGCGAAGUGAGGUGUUACGAGUUAUUACAUUCGGCACAUUGAGGGCCGAAUUUGAUAUUGAACUUCGUGAGAAUAGUAACCUUGUCUUCAGGUUCGAGAGCCCAAGAGGCCGAGACGUGUUCCUUUCUUGGCCGCAAUCGCAAGACGCAGAAGUCAGUAGCGCGACCCAACGCAACAUCAACAAAUUUACUCCUCGGCCGAGCUCGGCCGACGAGUUGGCACGCCCCGCAUUCACCGAAGGACGUAGUUAGCUUAUUAAUUACUCGGCCUGCGCGCCACGUAGGCUUGGUAGUUUUUAGGGUCAACAUUUUGGCACGCCCAGUGGGACCCAGUGCUAAACUACGAAGUUCACAUGAUCUAUCUCGAUCCGGCUUCAAGGGAUGAGUGUUAUCGCCUAUUAAAGGAGCAAAACAACUUCUCGAGAGUUUGAGAAGAAUUUCUGAAAGGCAAGAGGCCGGGGGGCAAAUCUCCACUCCGGCCACAACCAAUAUUCAGCCUAAGAAAAGUGAUAAUUUGGCCGAAGAACAAAGGCCACUUGUUGUUUCGGUAGAGACUGAAAAUAUAGUAGGCCUAGAAGAAAAAAUUCAAGUCCCUAAGCUAUAUACAAAAAUUGACUUGGAAAAAGAUUCGUCAAAAGAACGCUCCAGUGACGAACGAGGCCGAGAUAUUGGCCUAGCCCGAGAAACUACGCCAAUUGAUAUGAUUAUUGGCAAUAAAGCCGAUAUGGAGAAAUCCUGUUCGGCUAAGUUAUUUGAAUUAAAAGCCGAAAUUAUGCCUGGGGGGCAUAAUAAUUGUUCAGCGCAUUCGGCGGCCGAUAAAAAAUCUUUCGUCAAGUCAAACAUAUUUGGAGAUAGUAUUUUAUUCGGCCUUGCAAAAAUUCAAAGUGAAAGUUUUGAUACAAAAAGCCUUCGGCUUGGAAUAAAACAUCGUUGGCCUCCUCCAUUUAUAGUAGGGCCACUUUUGUUUUCUUUUGCUACAAAAUAAGAAUAAAUUAUUUUCUUAACCAUUCGGCUUUUUAGGCCGAUGCUUAAGAAAAUAAAGGGGGCAAUAAGAUGGUGCGGACUUAGAAAAACAAGAAAAAACAAGAUGGUGUACUCGGCAGACAAUUUUGGUCAAAUAAUGGUGUACUCGGCAGACAGUUUUGGUCGAAUGAAUUUGCGAGAGCAUGCAUGACAAUUGCUCGGCAGACAGUUUUGGUCAAAUGAAUUUAUGGGAGCAUGCAUGGUUGCGAAGCUUGCUCAAUUCAGUUUCGAUGUGCGGUUUAAUAUAUAUAUGUGUGUGUCAGAAUGACCCAUCACAUGAAACAGAAAGAGAGACGCAUACGGAAAAGACAAAGGAAAAUUCAUGAAGUUAUGGUAGGCUUCCACAUGGGCUAACCUUUUCGUUUGGUGAUGUAGUGAUCUGUGAAUUCCUAACAGCAUUAUUUGGCCGAAUACAAAUCUUUGGCCGAAUAAAACAUAGUUCGGCCGAAUAUAAUGGGUUAUAUAUAUAUAUAUAUAUAUAUAUAUAUAUAUAUAUAUAUAUAUAUAUAUAGGCUCUACAGCCAGUUCUUCUCGGUCUCAGCCCUAUUUACUCUCGACCCCAGUAUUUUUGACCGAUACUAGUGUUUUCUCGACCCCGGCAGUUGAGAGUUGGAGUAGUUCACGACACUGGCAGAGGGAGGUUAUGACAUUGGCAGAACAUAGGUGAUUUUAAUGCCGAGAGACAAAAUUUGUUUCGGCAAUACGACGAAGUGUUGUUGGCUACGAGCAAUUAAUUUCCUUAACCAUUCGGCUUACGAGCCGAAGCUCACGGAAACUAGGGGGCAAUGUUUGGACCUGAUUUUACACAUCGGCCUAAGCAAUCGAGGCCGUUGAGUAAGCAUGGUUCUCAACCGUUGGAUAAGAAAGUUUAGAUAUUAUUGUUAAGAGAUAAUAUUAUGAUUUUUAAUCAUAAUAAUUAUUUUUUUAAUAAGUUAUCUCGGUUUUUUAUGCAAAAUAAAUGGGAUGGAGGCAAGUAGAGUUGUGAUGGGGACGUGAGCUUUGAAUCAGGUUGGUUUGUUUUGCUGGACAUGCAUGCAUGGGAUGUAAAGAUAAUGAAGUGAUAGGGGAUAAAUCCAAACAUGCCAAAACGUGUAAUUUGCAAAAGAAUUGUGCAAUAUGGAGAUUCUAUCCUAAUGCAUGGUUUUUUGGGAUUGGUUUUGUGCACGUGGCAUGCGACAAUGGAGAUGAUGGUUUUGCAUGGUGAUGGCAAUAUGGGUUUAAAGGCUUCUCAUGUUUUUUAAUAAGAAGCCUAGGUGGGUUAUAUCUCUAGUGAGAUGUGAUAAAGCCUAGGUAGGCUUUAUUUAUCUGAAGGAUAUGUGCGGCGUAUUUGAUACGGGAUCAGGGUUUAUCUGAAGGAUAUGCGCAGCGUAUUUGAUACGGGAUCAAGGUCAAUUCCACAAAAUAGAGUUGCAGUUGGACUCUACAAAAUUAUUUGGCCGCGUCACACAACAUUUGCUCCUAUAAAUACAGAGGUAGUGGCAACGGAAGAAGGACCCCUGCAAAUCAAUACAAAAUUGCCCUGCGCAAAUUCUCACAACUUGUGAUUUUUCUUUUCCCUUUUUUCGCUGACACAUCUUCCGUUGGCAUCAACAGCACUGUGGAAGCAACCGGUGAUAUCUUAAGUCGGCAUAGAUAGCUCUGUCACCGUAGAAUCAGUCGGUCUCGCAAUACCUUCCAUUGGCAUCAACAGCACUGCGGCGAGAACGACCGAUUACCUAUCCAAGUCUCGGUCGAGAAGGAUUUCUGAAUCCUUAUUGGUCGAGGUCAUCUCAUCAGCCUUCUCGGCGAAGUGAGGUGUUACGAGUUAUUACAUUCGGCACAUUGAGGGCCGAAUUUGAUAUUGAACUUCGUGAGAAUAGUAACCUUGUCUUCAGGUUCGAGAGCCCAAGAGGCCGAGACGUGUUCCUUUCUCGGCCGCAAUCGCAAGACGCAGAAGUCAGUAGCGCGACCCAACGCAACAUCAACAAAUUUACUCCUCGGCCGAGCUCGGCCGACGAGUUGGCACGCCCCGCAUUCACCGAAGGACGUAGUUAGCUUAUUAAUUACUCGGCCUGCGCGCCACGUAGGCUUGGUAGUUUUUAGAGUCAACACAUUGUUAAUAAGCUCUUCAAUUCAAGUUUUCCUUUCUCACGGUAUCGAUAAUAUACCAAUGAAUCCACUUAUAUAUAUAUAUAUGUAUGUAUCUUCCCAAGUAGAGGGUAUAUAUAUAUGUGUGUGUGUGUAUCCUCCCAAGUAUACCAGCACUCCUUAAAUUAUUGAACAUUGAAUCAGAACAAGUCUGCAAUAUGAUGGAUUACACAUGUCAAUGGUUGAGACAAACGCUGACUCAUCACAUCACUCUUGUGUGUGUGUAUCUUCCCAAGUAUACCAUCACUCCAUAAAUGAUUGAACAUUGAAUCAGAACAACUCUGCAAUAUGAUGGAUUACACAUGUCAAUGGUUGAGACAAACGCUGGCUCAUCACAUCACUUUCAUAGAUUAGAGGCAGAUUUUCUGCCCUCCUAUUUGGAUCCCCUUCUCAUUCCAUUCUAUUUUAUGUUGUCACGAUUAAACCACGUCAAUAUUUUAUAUUGAUUUUUUUUAUAGAGAUAAUAAAACAAAAAGCAAUAUGAAUAUAAAAUGUUGACGUAACUUAACUGUGAUCACACAAAUAGAAGGGAAUGAGAAGGGUACCCAAACAGGAGGGCAGGCAACCUGCCUCCUCAUAGAUUCGGUCUCCUUGCAAUCUAGAAAGCCAUCUGCAACCUAAGCAGAAAUAUUCCACCACAAUUUAUUCGUGCUCUCUGUUGAUAGGGCGUUGAUAGGGCGUUUAGAGCAGUUGCCAAGUUGGAUUUCAAAUCUUCAACACCUCGUCAUAUUGGGUAUUUGUUGGUCAAGGUUGAGAGAUUCCCCACUAAAAGCCCUUCAAAAUCUACCUAAUCUGUUGGAGCUAUUUUUGAAAAUCAAUGCAUAUGAUGGUGUGCAGCUGCAUCUUGAGGAAGGAGGAUUUCAGAAGCUGAGGCAUCUGGAACUCAAGGACAUGGAGGGACAAAAUUCAUUGAUCAUAGACAAUGGGGUUAUGCCUCUUCUCCAAGAGUUUCACAUUGGACCUUCCCCACAACUGAAGGAGGUGCCCUCUGGCAUCCACCAUCUCCGAAAGCUGAGAUAUCUUGUUUUCUUUGACAUGCCAAAGGAGUUUGAACGACAUAUGGAUCCAAAUAAUAGACUGCAACAUUGGAUUGUUGAACAUAUACAAGAUGUCCGCUUUAGUUACAAGUUCGGACCAAGAUGGGGGUGUAUACGAAACUCACGCCCGACGUGAUUCCAACUUUUCUUUUUGGUAGAAGAUUCCAACUUGUGAAACCAAGCAUGGGAAUGGAAUGGUCUCUUUUUGUACAGUUUUUGGUUAGAGAGGUUUAGGGGUUGUUAAGAGUUGGUUGUUAGCUCUGGUAUCCUAGUUUCUCUUGCAGGUUGACUGGGAGUGGCUCUUUCUCUUCUGUUUUCUUUGUGUCGUCGAGUCUAGUGAUAUUUCUAGCAUUUUCCUUAUAAACUGUUUUUUUUAUUUAUAAAAAUUGAAAAAUAAAAAGGUAUCUUCUUCUCAAAUUCAGAAUGUUCAAGUGACCUAAUAAAAUUUCAUUGAACUUUAGGCGAAUGAAUCAAGUUUUUACUAGAGAUAAGUGUUAAUCUACAAUGGCUAUUUAUUCAAAAAGUUUUUUAGUAGUUUAAAAUCAUCAAACUAACUUUUUUUUUUGAAUGUGUUAAAAUUGGUUACCUGCAGAUAAUGAGUUCUUAACAUGUGAUUCAAUACCGACCCAAUUAGUUAAUGUGUAGAUUUGAAAUCUAUUAUUUUCGUACCAUUUCGAAUCGAGUUAACAGAUCGUAUAAGAAAUUGUCAGAUCUAACUUAAAUUUGAAAGGCUUGAUGACCGUUGGCAGGCCUACCAAAUAUAAAAUGGUUGUUGUUUGUUUGUUAAUUUAUAAAAACUUAAAAAGAGAGUUGGGUAGGUAUCGUAAUGACGCAAAGCCAGAGGCAACCACCUCUCUAAUUCGAGUUUUCCUUUCUCACUGUACCAACACGAGCAAAUUAAUCCCCUCAUAUAUCAUCGCAACUCCACGGUAUAUAAUAUAGCAACACUCCUUAAAUUAUUGAAAAUUGAAUCAGAACAAGUCCGCAAUAUGAUAUGAUGGAUUACCAAAGUCAAUGGAUGAACCAAACGCUGCCUUAUCACAUCGCUUUCAUAUUUUCAAUCUCCUUGCAAUCCAGAAAGUCCUCUGUAACCUAACCAGAAAUAUUCCACACGGAAGUAUUCAUAUAGAGAUUUUUCUCCAUCAAUUAUAGAUACUGUCUGCCAGAAAAGGCAGGAUACAAAAUGGCAGAAUCAGUUGUAUGCUUUGUGAUCGAUAAGUUAAUUUCACUACUCGUCACCACAGAAGCGAAACUUUCAAGAGACGUGCGUGCUGAAGUUGGUUUUCUCAGAGAUGAACUUGAAAGCAUCCGAUCAUUCCUCAAGGAUGCAGACGCUAAAGCAGCAGCAGCAGCAGCAGAAGGAGACAUGGUGACUGACAGUGCCAAAACUUGGGUCAAACAAGUAAGGGAAGCAGCUUUUUACAUUGAAGAUGUCAUCGAUGAGUAUUUGCUUCGUGUCACAAGGCACCAUCAAGACCGCGGAUUCGUUCGCUUUGUCCACAAAGUUGUUUGGUUUCUGAAGAAAAUGAAACCACAGGAUGAGAUAGCCUCAAAAAUAGAGGGCAUGAGAGCAUUGGUUAGUGAAAUCAAGGCUAGACAUGAAAGAUAUGGGCUUAGUUCAAUUGAUCAGCAAGGUCAAAGCAGUGAAGAAAUUGUUGUUUCGUGGCAUGACCCUCGAGUGGCUUCCCUUUUCAUCGAGGAAGCUGAAGUUGUUGGUGUGGAAUCUGCCAGAGAUGAGCUGAUUAGUUGGUUGGUAGGAAAAGCAUCAAGAGGCGCAUACCGUGAAGUAAUAUCAGUGGUUGGCAUGGGAGGACUUGGUAAGACCACUCUCGCCAAGAAAGUCUAUGACAACCAAAGGGUGAUCGAACACUUCGAUUGCCAUGCUUGGAUUACAGUGUCUCAGACGUACAAGGUGGAGGAUCUUCUGAGGCAGAUGGUAAUGCAAUUCUACAAGGCCAGGAAGGAAUAUACCCCGGAGGGCAUUGACACAAUGGAAAAAGAAUCUUUAAUUAGAAAAUCAAGAGAAUUACUGCAGCAAAAGAGGUACGUGAUUGUGUUUGAUGAUGUAUGGAAAGUAGAAUUUUGGGAGGCGAUAGAACAUGCUUUGCUGGAUAAUAAAGGGGGAAGAAUAGUGAUCACCACGAGGAUUAAAGAUGUUGCUGAUUUUUGCAAAAAGUCUUCUUAUGUUCAUAUUUACCGUUUGCAACCUCUGCCUCCAAUCAAGGCAUGGGAAUUGUUUUGUAGAAGGGCAUUUCAAUACGAAUUGGAGGGGAACUGCCCUGCAGAUUUGAAAGAUUUGUCUCUUGAAUUCGUUAGAAAGUGCGAAGGAUUGCCUUUGGCAAUUGUUUCCAUAGGUGGUCUGCUGUCAACAAAAGUUAAAGUUGUGUCUGAAUGGCAGAAGUUAUACGAUAGCUUAAGUUCAGAGUUAGAAAGCAAUCCCCACCUUACAAGCCUCACAAGAAUUCUAUCCUUCAGCUAUCAUCAUCUACCGUAUCACCUCAAAUCAUGUGUCUUAUACUUUGGCAUCUUUCCCGAGGACUACUCAAUUAGUUGCAUAAGACUAGCUCGGUUGUGGAUCGCUGAAGGCUUUGUGAAACCGAAGAGGGGCAAGACACUAGAAGAGGUUGCAGAGGAAUACUUGACUGAACUGAUACAUAGAAGCCUGGUGCAAGUGUCACAGGUUUGGAUCGAUGGGAAAGCUAAAAGCUGUCGAGUCCAUGAUCUGAUGCGCGAAGUGCUCCUUAGAAAAGCGGUGGAUUCAAAUUUCUGUCAUGUGUUAUCAGAAAAUGAGUCAACAAUAAAGCCAAUAACUCGACGCCUCUUGAUAGACAGCAUGCCCUAUGAUGCCUUGGGAAUAAUUGAACAAUCUCGCAUUCGUUCUUUAUUUACUUUCAACCAAGAACAAUGGCCCGAGUCUUUUCUCAGUACACUGAGUGGAAACUUUAAACUUAUGAAAAUAUUGGAUUUUGGAGAUGCUCCCCUGAAUCAUCUUCCGAAGUAUGUGGGAGAUUUGCAUCUCUUGAAGUACUUAAGCCUAAGGAAUACAAAGGUGAAGUUGCUUCCAGAGUCCAUAUGUAAUCUGCAAAACUUAGAAACACUGGAUUUAAAACAGUCUCUGGUAUAUGAAAUACCAGCCAAGAUCAAUAAGCUUCUAAGGUUGCGACAUCUUUUGGCCCAUUAUACUGACUCCAGCUCAAGGUUCAGGAUGAUCAGUAACGAACGAGGAGUGAAAAUACAUGAUGGUAUUGGAUGCUUACAAGCUUUACAACAGUUAUACCAUGUGGAAACAAAUCAUGGCGGAAUCAACCUAAUCAAAGCAUUGGAAAAGUUGAGGCAGCUGCGAAAGUUGGGCCUGAAAAACUUGAAACGUGAAUAUGGACGAGCUCUAUGUGCUUCGAUUGAAAAGAUGAACCACCUUGAAUCUCUAGAAGUAAGCACAAUAAGCGAAGAUGAAGUCCUUGACCUGCAAUCCAUUUCAACUCCACCCGAAUCUAUUCGGUUUCUCUACUUGAAGGGGCCUCUAGAGAAGUUGCCAAGUUGGAUUCCAAAGCUUCAACGACUUGUCAGGCUACGAAUUUUUUGGUCAAGGUUGACAGAUGCCCCACUGAAAGCUCUUCAAAACCUUCCUAAUUUGGUAGAGCUUGGGUUCUCAUUCAACGCAUAUGAUGGUGUGCAACUGCAUUUUGAGGGAGGCUUUAAGGAACUCAGGGUGUUAAAACUCAAGCACUUGCCCAGACUAAACUCAUUGAUCAUAGACAAUGGGGCUAUGCCUCUUCUCCGAGAGCUACAAAUUGGGCCUUCCCCACAACUGAAGGAGGUGCCCUCUGGCAUCCAGCACCUGAGAAAUCUAAGCUCUCUUAGAUUUGUUGACAUGCCAAAAGAGUUCCGACAACAUGGAUCCAAAUAAUGGCCAACAUUAUUGGAUUGUCGAACAUAUACAAGAUGUUCUUUUUAGUUACAAGUUGGGACAAAGAUGCGAUGUAUAUGAAACUCACGCCCUGCGUGAUUCCAACCUGUGAAAGCAUAUCUACAUGUGAGUUUUAAUCCCAGAACACCCCAUAUAACUCGCAAGGCUUAAAUGAAAUCGCCAAAUGUCAUUGUUGACACGAUCUGUGAUAUUCUUUAGUAUUAUCAACUGUUAUAGAUGUUUGCUUUGUAUGAAAACAAAAAAUAAAAACUUCAUUCAUGUUUGUGAGGAUUUGAUUGUGUUUGAGCAGGCAACAUUGAUUAUUUCUCACAACCCAGACAAGUGUUUGGCUAAUUAUUUCUCACACUAUCUAAUCAAAUGAAGGGCUAGGAGUUUCAGUUUGAGUGACGGUCCUAAAUCAUUUCUUUCGUUCCAGACAUGUUUCUGAAUUUGAAGCAUUAAACUUUUACUCAGCACACAAGCAUUGUGCGUAAGAUUUUUUUCAGUUGAAAGGCUUCACGGCAAGCCUACCACAGGUCUCCGAGGAUAAUCAUAGGAAACUUGCGAGGUUGAAUAUCAUUUGCAACCCAGCUAGCAGAAACAAAAGAGUCCCUUCUCCAGUACCAAGCUUAGCUAGAAGUCGAGGUUUUUGCCACAUGAAUUAAUUACGUAAAAUGAAACAAAUUAAAACUGAAUUAUGCUUGGUUAGUGAUGGAUGGCAGAUUCAAAUCAAAGAGAAGCAGUUAUAUAUGUUAAUGGAAGAUCAGAGCAAAACGCAUGGCUUAAACUUCAUUGUUUUACAUCUGCAACCGUAUCAGAAAGAACACAAAAGUAAGCAUACAUAAAGUGUGUUAAUACCUGAUUGAAUAAGUUAAUGAAAAAGUAGCAGAAGCAGUUGUAUUCUUUGUGAUUGAUAAGUCUCUACUCAUCUACUGUACAGAAGCAAAACUUCCAAGAGAUGUAUGAUAGAGAUUUUAACACAUGUUCAGGAAUUGGUAUAAACAAUUUACGAGUUUUUGAAUUAUUUAACUUAAUUAGCUCUAAGAACUAUGUUGGAGCAGUUAUGUUUUUAUUUAAUAUAUGUAUAUAUAUAUAUUUAUGAUUUGUUUUAUUAGAAACAUUAAAUAUAUAUAACUGUUAUUAGGAGUAAUUUUUAUUUGUAAAUAUAUUGGAGACAUUGUCAAUUAGGAGUAAUUUCCCUUCUUAAUUAUAUAGGAGACGUGAGGAAGUUUAUUACUUCAACAAAUUUGAUAUGCCUUCUCUAAAUAGAGUAGAAGAUCACGUCCACCUCCAUAUAUAAUCUAUCCGUUUUGAUUUUUACGUUUUGGUUUAUUCCGGAUUUCUAGUCCUUAAUUUAUAAAUCCUUCAACCUCUAUUUCUUUACUUUGUAUAUAAAUACAAGUCCUGAGUAUCGAUAAAAAAAAGAUAUAUAUAUAUAUAUAUAUAUAUAUAUAUAUAUAUAUAGAGAGAGAGAGAGAGAGAGAGAACUAUAAGCUGUUAAAUAAAUAAUUUUUGAAAUUAAGUUUUGAGAGCAACAUAUUGAAAGGGUGCAAGUUUGAAGGUUCUUCCAUUGUGCAAGGAAGAACCUUAUCAGAAGAAGGUUAUAGGCUGUUUUAUCCUGGGGACGACAUAGUGUUUGUGAACUGCUUGCACACUUUGGGCAGAGCUGCGAUAAAGAGAGCGACUUAGUCUGCGACUCAUCCUAAGAAUCAUUCAUCACUCAAGGCUUUUACAUUUUCCGGGUAACUUCAUUCAUUUCUAUUUCAGUUUUCAACAAACUACAUUAAUUUGACAAAACUAAAUUCUAUUGUACGUGACUUAAACAAAUAUAUCAAAUGAGAAUUGGCUUACAGAAAUAGUGAUUUAACUAAACAAAACAAGUAAAUGUAGAAACUUAAGAUAAUAGAAAUAAUUGAAGAAAAUUAGAUUGACAAGGCACUAGAGUUCGACCUUUACCAACAACACUCCUACGUAGCUCUUCCAAUUGCUUAAGUAAUCGAAAACACACAUGCUUUGAAGGUUGAGUUUUUCCUUAUGUAGUUUUACUUGUGACAUUCAAGCUAAAACGCAUACCACUACAUGCAAUUCAUCCAUGACAUUGAGAUUAAAUAUAAACAUGAGUGAUUUAUUAAUCUUGGUGAAAAUCCUUUUAAUAAACCAUGUAAUCCCUAAAAGUAUGAUAUUUACCUUAGGAGAAAUUACAAUCCUCAAUCACAAGAAGCAUAACCAAUUUUAACGUGACAUUCGUUCAAAAUUACAUCCGAUGACUGUUCUAAGCAUCCUAAUGGUGAUCAAGUAUCAAGGCACAUAUAUAGUUUAAUUUAAUGAUUGAAAAUAUCAAAGCAAACAUUUAAUAAUACUUAAGCAAUUAAAAGAGAAAUCUACGUAUUCAUGUUGAGGCUCAUGGCUUCACUCUAGUGAAAGAAAAUUAAUUAUACAUACUUAUCUAAAAACAUAAGAAAUUAUCCAUAAAAAAUCAAGGAAAGAAUACAACCUUUAGGCCAUCUCCAACCGAUGGCUGGCCAGAGGACUCGUUUAAGCCCUUUGGCCCUCCAAGAUUCUCCAAGAUAUUAAUAUUUUAAUGAACAGUACAAGGCCAUAUUUGCCUCCGUCUCCAACCGAGGACCAGAGGGCUCGUUUUAGCCCUUUCACAAAAAACCGUCUCCAACCGAGGGUCAAAGGGCUAUAGGGCCAAACAUAAUUUAUUAUUUAAAAACUACAACUUAAACGUUUUUAAAUGUUUUUAAAAAUGUUGUUUAAGUUUCAUGUUGUAUAAUUUUUAUGUUGCUUAAUGUUAUUUAAUGUUGUUUCAUGUUACUUAAUUUAAUUUAAUGUUGUAUAAUAACUUAGGAAGUUAUAGGAAAAAAAUAGAAUUUAAAAAAAAUAUGAAACAAAUUUUGUGAAAUAGAAGUUAUAGGAAAAAAAAAGAAUUUAAAAAAAAUAUGAAAUAAAUUUUGUGAAAUAGAAGUUAUAGGAGAAAAUAGAAGUUAUAUCAAAAAUUUUGUAAAUAAAAAAAAUAAUAAAACUGUAAAAUAAAAAAACAAAUGCAACAGCUAGCCGUUGCAUUUGAAUUUUUUCUUAAAAAAUCAUGUCGGUUAUAACCGACAGGAAUACAUGCUAUUAUUUAAUAUAAAUGUAUUACUGUCGGUUUAUUUAGUAUAAAUGUAUUACAUAACCGACAGUAAUACAUUUAUAUUAAAUAAAAGCAUGUAUUUCUGUCAGUUAUAACCGACAGAAAUAACAAAACAUUAAAAAAAAUAGCCAGCCCUCUCCGAUUCCGUAGGACCCUCCCAGAUUCCAAAGCCCUCUGGCCUAACCCUCAGUUGGAGACGGUUUUCAGGUUAUUUUCGGUCCUCUGGCCCUCUGAACCUUUUGUUGGAGAUGACCUUAUUUACAAGAAUUAUUCCUGCUGAGCUGCUUCCACCCUCCUCUCUCUGCCUUUGCUCUCUUCUUCUACUGUGCCUUCCGUCCGUCUCCCUGCUUCUCUUCUGUUUUUCCUCGUCUGUUUCGUGCCCUUCCUUCAACCAAAUGCAGCUAUCUGCUUUUUCCCGGCCACAAAGGCCCAGUGGAAGACAAGUCAAAUUUCACUUCGGUAGUGGGAUUGGCAAGGCAAAGCACAAAGUGCCCGUUCUUUUUCUUUUUUCUCCACUUGCCGUGUCCCAGCUUGGAAAAUUCCAAAAACGUUCGGUCAUUCCCAGUUGCCAAAGCAGGUUGGAGCUUUUGAACUCUUCUUCCGCUUUCUGCGCACACCCACUACCUCACAAUUACAACUUUAUUAGCCAAUCUAAUAUUAUAUCUUUAAUUGCUUACCAUGUCCUCUUCCAAUUGACAAGUGACACAAAGUUUCUAUGGAAAUUAAUAAAAAAUGUUUGAAAAUUUUGACUUUUAACGAAAAUAACACAAAUGUGUUGUAAGUGAAUAAUAUCCAAUAUUGACUUUUUAAAGUAAAAAGGAAAAUUUUGAAAUAGGUCCAGUUUUAUAGGCCUACUUUUAAAAUAGAUUCAAUUUUUAGUGACUUUUAACUUUUGAAAUAAGUCAAAUUUUUUAUUACUUUGAACCCAUAUCAAAAUACCUCAAGUAAAAAUGUGAUUUUCCAUUAAAAUGAACCGUACCAAAAGUGUUUUGUUGAAACUUACUUCUUAUUUUUAGAACUCAUAGAGGAGGAAAAGGAGAGAGAGUGGCGGAAAGAAAAUGUGGAAAUAAUUUCCACAAUUAGUUUUCUAUGUUUGCACACUUCCAAUAAUUUUCAUCACUCAAUUCUCACAUCAAGGGAAACAUAAUCAUGAUCACAAACAUAAUCAUGAAGUUUCCUCAUCAUUUUAUUUAUUUAUUUAGCCGAAAGCUGGUCCUAGAAACACAACAUGGCAAAAAUAUCACAAAUACUUAAAACUUUCAACUAAACUAAACAAGAAAACAAAAAUAAAAAGGCGAAAUAUAUAGAAAAAAUAUUGGUUCAUCAACAUACGCACUAAAGUUGCUUUCAUCUAUAAAAUCUAAGAGCUCUUAGAUAUAUUAACAUGCCGAAACAAUUCAUCGAGAUGUGAAUCCGAAAAAUGGCCAGUGUUAUUGGACUGUUGAGCUUAUACGAACGACAUGUUAUUUGUAUUUACAAGCGUGGGACGAGAUGCUGCACACACGAGAUUCACAACCUGCAUGAUUCCAGCUUGUGAAGGCGCACAGGCGAGUCCUACUUAACACCAGAAUACCCUGCACCCUGCACUUCAGGAUGCCGCAGUGAAAUGAUCAAAUUUCAUUUUUUUUCCCUAGCUGCCAUCACUUUAUUCUUCUAGGAGAUGCGACGAUUGGUGAGGACUUAUGUGGAACAGAUUUAUUGUAAACGUGGCAUCCCAAUUUAAUAAUAUAAUGCCACAUGACAUUGUCUUAUUGAACUGAGGCGCAACAGUGAUGGUGAACUCAUUUCAUGUAAGUUGCUAUUAUUGUUGGGUGUCCUUACGCAAAUUUUUCAAGACAAGGUGGAUUUUUAACCAAAGAUAGUUGUGUGGAAGCAUGAAAUAUGAAACCAAUAAGCUAAUACAACAAAAUAUGACAAGACAAAUAAUCCAAAUUAACACAAGGAUUUAUACUGGUUCGACGUAAGCCUACGUCCAGUUCAAAGACGGCGAGAAAAUUCGAUUAAUUGUUAGAUCCCAUAUCGCUGUGAGGAGUGGAUCCUUUAUGCCUUAUAUGUACAUGCCCACCUCUAUAUAGCACGAAAUCUUUUGGGAGCUCACUGACUUCGGGUUCCGUAGGAACUCCGAAGUUAAGCGAGAAAGGGGCUAUAGUAUUCCCAGGAUGGGUGACCUACUGGAAGUUCUACUCGCGUAAGUUCUCAUAAACAAAACCGUAAGGGCGUGAUCGAAGCCCAAAAUGAACAAUAUCGUACUACGGCGGAAUCGAGCUCGGGAUGUGAUGGAGCCCAGGUCGAGGUCACUAAUAGUCAAAAUGAAAAUUACAAAUUUAGUUCAACUCUCAAAUCCCAAAAUCCACAUACACCCAAUAACUCUCAUUCAUACAAAGAACAAAUGGAGAAUAUGGAAACACAUACCUAAUCCCUUCUCCCAAAAGCCAGAAAAAUUGUAGCACCAAUAUCUUGGAUUGAUUGAUUACAAACAAAGGGAGUUACAAACAAAAGGGAGAGUGCAACAGCUCUUCUUCAAAUGGGAGAGCCGAAUGCUCUCUCCUCUACUCACCUUCUUUCUGCUGCUUCCACCCUCACACUCUACCGCUCUCCUCUACUUAUCUCUCUGCAAGAUCCAGCAAGGAAGAUAAAGAGCACAACGAUGAAAGCAACAUUUUCUUCUCCGCCAACCAAAAAUGCCGAAAGAAAAAAAGGGAGGCAGAUUCUCUGCCCUCCCACUUCCCAUGCCCUCUUGUUUGUGUGGUCACGGUUAAGCAACGUCAAUAUUUUAUAUUACUAUUUCUUUUUGUCUUAUUAUCUCUAUAAAAAAAAUAAUAUAAAAUGUUGACGUGCCUUAACCGUGACCACACAAAAUAGAAGGGCACGGGAAGUGGGAGGGCAGAGAAUCUGCCUCCGAAAAAAAAAUCAACCUUUUCUUUUUUGUUCUACAAACAUCAUCAUUAUGCCUCCUCAUUAUGUUCCCACAUCAUUAUAUCCCCUUUUUCUUAUUCUAUUUUUCUUGCUUUCGGCUUCUUUAACAAAUGCAGCAAUUGCUGCCAAUUAAAACAAACGAAAACUAAUGAAAAUAAUUUGAAAAUUUUGAGUUUUAACGAAAAUAACAAAAUAAAAAGUAAAGUAAAUGGUACUAGAAUUAACCUUUUAAUGUAAAAAUGUAAUUUUUCGUUAACGUAAACAGUAUCGGAAGUUUUUUUGUUAAAAUUCUCAAACAAAGGAAAACCACCCGUGUCUUUCACAUGGACCAAAUAAACAAAACAACUUAAUGGGCAAUUGGGUCAAUAAGUGGCCCACCACAAUUUGGCACUAGAUUCUCACCUUCGACAAAGUGAAAACAAAACCAUUGGAAAAGCAAUAGCCCAUGUCUCAAGUUAAUAAGAAAGGUAUCUAUUUGCUUCAAUGUUUCUGACUCUCUUGAUACCAAAGCCAUCUGCUUCCCAUCGUUCAUAUUUCUUCCUGAUUCUUGCAUCCUCUUCUUUUUCAGAUUUCGUUUCUCUACCUUUGCAUCUCAAUUUUCUCUGUUUUUCUAAACAACUGCUUGCUCACCCAAACCGAAAGGCACAUUGCUUGGGGUUGUGGGGUUGCACAUAUUAUAUGGCAGAACAGAUUGUAUGCUUUGUGAUCGACAAGUUGAUUCAACUAUUCAUCACUACAGAAGCAAACCUUUCGAGAAAUGCACGUAUUGAAGUUGGUUUCAUCAAAGAUGAACUCGAGAGCAUCCGAUCAUUCCUCAAGGAAGCAGAUGCUAAGGCUGCAGCAGCAGAUGGAGAGACUAUGAACGACGGUGUUAAAACUUGGGUCAAUCAAGUAAGAGAAGCAGCCUUUUACAUUGAAGAUGUCAUCGAUGAAUAUUUGCUCCACAUCAUACAGCAUCAUCAACACCAUGGAUUCAUUCGUUUUUUCCAUAACAUAAUCCGGUUGGUUCAAAAAAUGAGAUCACAGGAUGGGAUAGUUUCGAAAGUUGACGGUAUAAAAAAAUUGGUUCGUGAAAUCAAGGAUAGAAGUGAAAGAUAUGGAUUCAAAUCUAUUGAUCAGCAAGGGCAGAGCAGUGUAGAAAAGACUCUACCGUCGAACGACCCUCGAGUGGCUUCCCUUUUCAUUGAGGAAGCUGAAAUUGUGGGGAUUGAAUCUGCCAGAGAUGAGCUAACUCGUUUGUUGGUAGAAGGAGCGCCAAGACGUGAAGUGAUAUCAGUGGUUGGCAUGGGAGGACUUGGGAAAACCACUCUUGCCAAGAAAGUGUAUGACCAGCCGAAGGUGAUGGCACACUUUGAUUGCUAUGCUUGGAUUACAGUGUCCCAGUCGUACAGGGUUGAGGAUCUUCUGAGGACGGUAAUAAAAAAGUUCUACAGUUCAAGGAAGGAGCGUUUCCCAGAGGAAAUUGACACAAUGGAUGAGGAGUCCCUGAUUAGCACAUCUAGAGAGUAUUUGCAGCAAAAGAGGUACAUUGUUGUGUUUGAUGAUGUGUGGAAAGUAGAUUUUUGGGGGGCAAUAGAACAUGCUUUACCCGAUAGUAAAGGCGGACGAAUAAUUAUCACUACACGGAUUCAAGAUGUUGCCAACUUUUGCAAAAGAUCUUGUUUUGUUCAUGUUCAUCACUUGCAGCAUCUGCCUCCAAACAAGGCAUGGGAAUUGUUUGUAGGAAGGCAUUUCAGUUUGAAUUGGAGGGAAAGUGUCCUGAAGAGUUGGAAGAGUUGUCUCUUAACAUCGUCAAAAGAUGCGAAGGACUACCUUUGGCAAUUGUUUCCGUAGGUGGUCUGCUGUCAACCAAAGCUAAAGUUGUGUCUGAAUGGCAGAAGUUAUACAAUAGCUUAAGUUCAGAGUUAGAAAGAAAUCCCCACCUUACAAGCCUCACAAGAAUCCUAUCCCUCAGCUAUCACCAUCUACCGUAUUACCUCAAAUCGUGUGUAUUAUACUUUGGCAUCUUUCCCGAGGAUUACUCAGUUAAUUGCAUAAGAUUAGUUCGGUUGUGGAUCGCUGAAGGCUUUGUGAAACCGAGGAGGGGCAAGACACUAGAAGAGGUUGGAGAGGAAUACUUGAUGGAGCUAAUUCACAGAAGCCUGGUUCAAGUUUCAGAAGUUUACAUUGAUGGAAAAGCUCGAGCUUGUAGAGUUCAUGAUCUAUUGCACGACGUCCUCCUUAAAAAGGGGCUGGAUUCAAGCUUCUGUCAUGUGUUAUCAAAAGACGAGUCGACUUUUAAACCAACAACUCGACGUCUCUCAUUGAACAUCAGUCCCUCUUGGGCCCUGGGAAGCAUUACACAAUCUCAUAUUCGUUCCGUAUUUACUUUCAACCUAGAAGAAUGGCCCGAGUCUUUUCUCGAUACAUUGAGUGGAAACAUUAAACUUGUGAAAGUAUUGGAUUUCACGGAUGCUCCAAUCAAUCAACUUCCUAAAUAUGUGGGUGAUUUGUAUCUCUUGACGUACUUAAGCCUGAGGAAUACAAAGGUGAAGUUGCUUCCAGACUCCAUAGGCAAUCUACAAAACUUGGAAACCCUGGAUCUAAAACAGUCCUUGGUGUAUGAAAUACCAACCAAGAUCAAUAAGCUUGUUAAGCUGCGGCAUCUUUUGGCCUACCAUCGUGACUACAACUGCGACGUGCGUUUGUUCUUGAAUAUGGAAAAAGAAGUGAAGAUACAUGAAGGUAUUGGAUGCUUACAGCUUUGCAAAAACUGUCCUAUGUGGAGGCGAAUCAUGGAGGGAUCAGGCUAAUCAAAGAACUGGGAAAGUUAAGACAGCUACGGAAGUUAGGCCUAAAAAACUUGAAAAGUGAAGAUGGAAGGGCUGUGUGUGCUUCUAUUGAAAAGAUGAACCACCUUGAAUCUCUACUUUUAACUGCAAUAAAUGAAGAUGAAGUCCUUGAUCUAGAAUCUAUUUCAACUCCACCAGAAUUUCUUCGUUCUCUCUGCUUGAUAGGGCGUUUAGAGCAGUUGCCAGGUUGGAUUUCAAAUCUUCAACACAUAGUCAAGAUAACCAUUUAUUGGUCAAGGUUGAGAGAUUCCCCACUAAAAGCCCUUCAAAAUCUACCUAAUCUGUUGAAGCUAACUUUGGGUAGGAAUGCAUAUGAUGGUGUGCAGCUGCAUUUUGAGGAAGGAGGAUUUCAGAAACUUAGGGAGCUAAGGCAAAGAUGGUGGGACUAAAUUCGUUGAUCAUAGACAAUGGUGUCAUGCCUUUUCUCCAAGAGUUUCACAUUCGACCUUCCCCACAACUGAAGGAGGUGCCCUCUGGCAUCCACCAUCUCCGGAAUCUGACAACUCUUGAUUUCUAUGACAUGCCAAAGGAGUUUGCGCGACAGAUGGAUCCAGAAAAUGGCCAACAUUAUUGGAUUGUUGAACAUGUACAAAAUGUUCGUUUUAUUUACAAGGUCGGACCAAGUUGGGGUGAAUAUGAAACUCACGUCCUGCGCGAUUCCAACUUUUCUCUUUGGUCGAAUGCUUGAAUCCAACUUGUGAGGGGCUCUUGCAGGUUGACUGGGAGGGGCUCUUGCAUGUUUUGGUUAAGAGUUGGUUGUCAGCUCUGGUAUCCUAGUUUCUCUUGCUGGUUGGCUGGGAGGGGCUCUAUCUCUUCUGUUUUCUUUGUGUCGUCCAGUCGUAUUCCUAGCAUUUUCCUUGUAAUUUUAUUGGUGGUUGCAAUAAAAAUAUCCUUUCUAAUUAAUUUUCUCUAGGAGAAUGAUAAACCGUAUGCUCUUUUUAAUCUCACUUUGAUAAUUGAUGUUAAAAUAAUAAAUUUUUACUAUCUUUUAUUUUACCAAUUCUUUAGUAUUUUAUAUUCUUUAUAUUAAUUUGUAAUCUCUAAGAUAUUUUGUUGAGUAAAUUGUACAAAUGGUCCCUCAACUUUAAUCAAAUUGGAGCAAUGGUCCCUCAACUAAAAAUCCAUUACCUUUGGUCCCUCAACUUAUCAAAACGUGCAGCUAUGGUCCCUCAACUAAAAAUCCAUUACCAUUGGUCCCUGAACUUUAAUUCAAGUGGAGAAAUUGUCCUUUAACUUUAACCCAAUUGUAACAAUAGUCCUUCCAAUAUAACUCGUUUUGACAAAUUUUUUGACAUAGUUGACGAAAAGAACCAUAAUCAUACACUUUGAUGAGUUAAGGGACCCUAAUUAUAUAAAUGGUUAUUCCAACAUAGCUUAUUUUGACAAUAUUUUGACAAAAUUGAUGAAAAGGACUAUAGCUACACAUUUUGAUAAGUUGAGGGACCAAUGGUAAUGAAUUUUUAGUUGAGGGACCAUUGCUCCAAUUUGAUUAAAGUUGAGGGACCAUUUGUACAAUUUACUCUAUUUUGUUAAUCAAAGGGUAGAUUUUGUGGAUUAUAGAAAUUUCAUGAAUCGUGAUUUUUUUUUUUGGCCAAAAAUUUCGUGAAUCAUGAUUGAGCUCUCUCCAUUUGUAUGCACAGAUUGAUCCAGCCACACAUAUUUUGUAUGCACAGUGGUGAAAAAGUGUUGAGUGCUUACAUGACAGUAUUUAUUCAAACUUCAUCAAUAACUAAUCUAACAUUUAAUGUAACAAAUUUUAUCGAUGGACCAAAAAAAAAAAAGUUUGGUGCAAGAUGUAAAGGUGAGGGCCCACAAAUGCAAGCGUUGGGCGUGGCGGAGUGGAUCCCACGAUUUCAAAAUUCUGGACAGAAGGAACAUUUCUCUCAAACUUGGGCGCUGAAAAAAGUUGUCGUCGUCGUCUUUCCUUUUCUGGCUGAGUUUGCCUUCUUAAACCAACCCGAAAUUCUCGCCCCAAACAAAUAUUCAAACCUUUCCGUUUCUUCCCUUCACAAAUUUCCAAUUAGGGUUUCACAUUAACCUUGAUCAAAACUUCUACGUACAUAUAUAUACAUAUAUAUUUACAUAUAAUCUCUCUCUCUCCCUCUGUUUCUGAAUUUUGAUUUCCCGGGAAAGUUUCGAACUCGAUCGCUUCUUCGAAAGUCUCCUAAAGCUUUUUGAAAAAACAAAAAUCCAAAAUAUUUGUGAUAUAAAAAGGAAAUAAAUUUUAAAUCGCGCAUGGAAUUGACUGGUUCAUUUGCCUGAAAGUUGGUUCAGAUAGAGAGAGAUGGAGGGAGGGGAGACAGAGAUUGAGGGAGGAGAGAGAGAGAUGGAAGAAGAAAUGGUGGAAUUCGCGAGGGAGGCUUUCGAGGGGGAUGAAAUUGACAUGGACUACGAAUUCGAUGCGCUAAAGGUUCUACGAUUUCACUAGGCCGGAAUCUGAUUGGGAGGCCGAGGAGGCGGAGGAAUGGUUCCGGUCAGCCGGAGGCUAUAAGCCCUCGCGUAAGCGAUUUCCGGAUCAUUUGUUUGUUGUUUUCUUAGCAUGUCCCAAAAACAAUGAAUUGGAUCAUCUUCUAUGAUUACCACAUUAAUUAAUGAUCGUUUUCUGCUAAUUAAUUUCAGCAUCUACAUGUUAAGUUCAUGCAUUUUAGUUAUGUUACGUUGUUUUAUAUGAACAGAUUAGAGAUUGAAUUAUAAAUAUUAUAAUUUGAUUGGAUUAAUUUGUUACCACUAACUUUAUUUUUCCUUUGUUUAAUUUGUUUCAAAUCCUUUAGCUUUCCUUGAAAAAUGGUUGAAUUGGCAACAAGAGAAUCAUCCGGUACCUGUAAAAACCUCCGCGGAAUCGAAAGAUGUUGAAGUUACUAGAUGCAGUAACUUGAAUAAUUGCAUGAAAGCAAAGGUCUCUGCACCCGUAGAAGAUAAUGACAAAGGUACAUUCUACCUCAUUUCUUAUUAGAUUUUUGACGCAAUGUGAUACUUCGUUGUAAAAUUACUACACUCGGAAAAUUUUAGUUCUGUUUUCUGAAUCGGCUUUGCCUGAAUUGGUACAUGAAAUUGUAUCUUACUGUUAUGUUUUAUGUUAAACUUUCGACACGAUUAGAGUUUUCUAAUCACAUGGCUCAAGACACUCCGAAAACCAAACUGAAGUCCCCGGGUAAGUCACCACAUCUAUCAAGGAGUUCAACGUUAAUGAAACCCACGGCGAGUCGGUUGGCCAAGCAAAAUCAGCACCGAGAGGUUCACUCCAAUCGGUUAUUAAGGAGGUGCUGUUAUUUUUCUCUGAUGUUUCUGUUGUCAUCAAUGUAUCUUUUGUUCUAAUUGUUUGGUGGUCCAGUUUUCUAACUUGUCCCAUUUUCCGACUCUUGGUUACAGAGUUGCGAAAAAGCUCGGGAAACUUGAUUAGAAAUCACCGAAUUCUCCGCCACCUACGAUGGGCUACGAAAAUUCGAAGUAAUGUAGCAUAGCACUUUGCAAAUUGGGUAGUGCUAUCCACACGUCCAUUUUUACUUUUAACACACCCCUCUCAAUUUUUCGGUCAUUGGAAAAAUGAGUGUGUAAAUAGUACUAUCCUACAAAUUACGCAACCGAAACUAUAUCAGAAGAGCGAUUAUAACGUAUUAAAGUACCAUCUCACUAAAUUAUCCAACAAUGUUUCAGAGAUUAGAAACAAUCAUACCACUUUCAGCUUAGUCAUUCCAUCAAACGGCUGGUACGCUGCAAUCCCACUUAUGCUCAAAUCACCACCGUCCGUUCCCACCAUCGAUUCCAUCAGAUUCUCCGAAACCCAUUUCUCAAUCAAAUCCAAACACAGCUGCAACCACACCCAGAAAAUUAAAAAGUUGAACUUUACAUAAACUCCACUCCGAAAACAUAAAUUACACAAAACCCAACAAAAUCUCACCCUGUUCUCAGACAAUCCGAGUUGAAUAACCCCAUCCGGAUUAUCCACCCUAUCGUACGGCUCCUCCGAAGCCCUAUCCAACCCGAUAUAGUACGGCGAGUCAUUGGGCUUCGCAACCCAGCUCGCCCGGGAGGACAUCCGGACCCGGCCCAUGGGCCCGCGGGUGGACAAGCUGGACCGCGACGGCGUUCUGGGGAGCUCCGCCAGGUUGGAGGAGGACUGGGAGGGGGAAGGUGGAUCGGGGUUGGAGGGUCGGCGUCGUUUUAGGUAGAGCUGGAGGCAGUAAUAGAGAGCACAUGGGAUUAGAGAGGCGAGGAUGAGGCCGCCUCUGCCUUGGACGACGCCUUGGAGUGGCACAAUCAGUCUCAUCGCGGUGACUCCGGUGGGCUUGUUUCGGGUUGGGUCGGAGUCGGGUU
rnacentral:lncRNA from 1 species